GGCGCCGGCCGCGCUGGGCUGGGGGCGAGCGCCGCGGGGCCCGGGGAGGCGGCCGGGCCCCCAAGCGGAGGCGGCGUCCUCCCGGAGGCCCGCGCCCCGCCCUCUCGGCGCCCGAAGGCUGGCGUUCCCCAGGUUCCUGCGGAAACUUUCCUGGGCGCCGCGCUCUCGCUCGCUGCCUUCGUUGGCCUUUGAGACCCGCUCGUUUCCUGGACGCACGCAACCCCAGAAGCAGCGUCGGCCUCCGGCUCUCGCAUCCGCCCCCAGGGCCCAGUAGGGCGCUAUUAAUGUUUGUUGAAUGAAUGAGUGGCUGUCCUAGCGGUCGGGCCCUGUGAUAAAUGACACACUCGCACUCAAGGGGAAAACCUGGAUCAGACACACUUGGCAUCGCGCUGUGACCUUUCUGUGAACUCAGGAGUGGAGGGCUCUUUGUAAGAAACACUUUGUUCCCCGCCAGGGUGAAUGGAAGUGAUCUUAUUUUUUUUCCAGGACAAUUUGCAUGUAAAACACUUCGUCUCACUGGCAGAUUUCACAUCUUGGCUUUUGGUUUGAAAAAUGAAGUGACAGUUCAGAAGAAGCUCUAGUGAUGUGUAGAUAGAAGUUGCUUGGUUAAUGCUGCGUGGUUUGGGAAUAGCGCUCUCGAAGGCCGUGAUACCGUGGUGUCACGUAAUUCCGUGUUUCUGAGUUACCUUAAAGCGUAAAGAAGAACUUCCGUGCUGAGAGUUCUCAAACUUAACACAAAGGACUAAACCUCUACUUUCUGUGUUGGAGUGAGACGCAGCGAAACACAGCUCCAAAAAGGUUUUUUCCCGGUUUGGUUGUUUUGAUCAUGAUAGCUGGUAGCAAAUCAUGAAAUCCAGGCUUGGAAAGCCCUUCGUUACCCUUCUGACUUUUUCCUACUGUAUUCCUGGUGUGGGCUCUCCAGCUAAGACUAAACAACUCUGAGUUUCUGAAGCUCAUGACCUUCCCGGUGCGCCCAACCCACCUUUGCCAACUCUUCAGAAAAGUUUGUUGUAAAAAUACAGAAUUGGCUUCUGUCUAGAGAGAGAGACUCUCUAGAGCCAGAAGCCGGAAUCUCUGGAGCCAGAAGAAUGAGUCUGAUGGUAGCCCCUCACUUUUUUCAAGUGGGUUAGCCUGUUUCCUGGAGUCGUCCCUUAUUUUGAAAAUACUGUCGUGAAGGGACUAGUUUCAGAGGUGAGGGCAGGGGUAAGCGGAGCCAGGAAGGAUGGUGAGGAAGCUAGGGGCUAGCGACAGACAGGUGGAAGCUGUUACUACCUCUAGACCUGACGGGGCACGGGGAGCCCACAGAGAGCUGGAACUAUGGAAGGGGGGCUGCCGGACAGGAACUGUAGCUACAGAGAGACACAGCGACUGUCAGUAACAUGGAGAUGGAGCAGGGAGACAUUGGCACAAGAGAUACUCUGUGUCUUCUCUUUCCUUGCCCUUGAGUCUCUUGUGGGUGCUUCUAGUUGGCUGGACCCAGGGGGAAGUCACCCGGGCAAGGGUGUAUGGACAAUGCCAUAUGUAGGGGUCAGCUCCCUCAGGACACAGAGCCGUGCAGCGAUCAUAGUGGGGAUUGGGGGAAAUGAAAAUAACCAGCAGACCCUUUCAAAGUGAGCUGCCCGGAAGCCCCCAUAGUAGUGUGGAAGUCUAGCCCAGCCCACCCAGGUUAGAACCCUUCUCGGUUCUAGCCCAGACACCAGGUUCUAGUAAUGCAGCCAGGGCCGCUUUUCCUUAUUCUGUCCGUUACAUCACACUGUUAGCUCUCAUUGAGUUGGCUACCGACUUAUUCAAAAACAUUUUCAUGUCUGUGGCUCCUGAACCAUUCCCUUACCUGUCUCAGAUUUACUCAAUUGGGUUUUUGAAACCAGGUGCAAGAUCUUAUUUUUAUCCUUGCUCUACUUAACUGUUAAGUCCUGAUUCUGUCAUUCAGACGCUUAACUAAUCCAGGGGAUGUAAAUGGUGAGUUUGCUUCUUCUAAAGGGGCCCACCACCACCCAGCCCCACCUGCUUGCCGCUGUAGGUGGUAGUUCUGCGAGCCCAAAGAAGGCAGCUGGGUUGGUCUGAAAUCACCUGCUCUUGGUGAGUGUGUGCUGGGUCUCAGUGAUCAAUGCUUUGCCUGUCAAGGGCCCACUAAUCAUCACUUCAGUAACAGUAAGACUAGAUCUUGCUCUGGAUCUUGCAAAAACUCACAGCUGUGUGCUUUGCAGAAACUGCUUUCUCCUACUUCCCCCCCCCCCAUAAUAUUCUAGAACAUGAUUCCUCAAGGUCACUGAUGUGACCUUGAGCAUUGAAUUCUCCUGGGCUCAGGGACUGCCAUUCAUUCACUUGACACCUGUUGUGUCCCACUGUAGAACACAAACAUUGGAAAGACAUAAUACGUGUUAGAAUAUUUAGUCAAUAAUUUCAUAUAACAAUAUGUCUUCGUACAAAUACCUACUACAUACAUCAUAGAAUGACUUAUAAGUCUCAUAAGAAUACAUUAAAAGUAGUCAUCACUCCUGUGUUUUCAAUAAGGAAAAAUAACCUUAGGAAAAGAGAGGUUAAAAGCAUGGUCUUUGGGACCAGACACCUUUGGCUUUGAUUUCUGGUCCAGCCCCUUAUCUAUUGCUAUGACUUAGGACAACUUUCUUAUCUAAGCUUCUGUUUCUUCAUCUAUAAAAUGGGAAUAAAGCAUGUAAUAUGCAUAGCAUGGUAUGAAUAAUGAAUAGUAGCUAUUAAAAUUGAUAGCUCAAUGUGACAUAGUCCUUAAAAUUUGAAAUAGUCUUUUCAUUAUGGACUAUAGAAGAUUCUACAGGUUCUGCAAAUAGCCUAGUAGCUCAUGACUCUGAAGCUCUUAUGACCCUGCGUUGGUCCCUUUGGAAAUUAGGGAUCUUUCCUUGCACAUCAGAUACUCCUAUUUCCAUAAUGUCAUAUUUCAGCAUUUUUUAGAAGAUUUUAUUUAUUUUUUGAGAGAGAGAGUGCAAGCAUGAGCAUGUGUGCAGGAGUGGGGAGAGAGGCAGAGGGAGAGACUCUCCAGCAGACUUGUGCUGACUGCGGAGCCCCACGUGGAGCUCAAUUCCACGACGCAGAGAUCGCGACCAGAGCCGAAAUCUGGAGUCAGACGCUUAACCAACUGAGCCACCCAGGUGCCCCAUAUUUCAGUAUUUUAGAAUAUCUGGGCCCAUUUUCAGGAGUUGUCGUUAAGUGGCUUUUGUUUUCCUCUGUGGAUCUUCUCUUUUGUGGUUCCAGCCUUCCUUUACGCUAUACACAGCCCUCUUCUGUGGCUCCUUAGAGUAGCCUUUCAGAGUCCUUAGCCAAAGGGUCACCUUUCAUCUUUCUUUCUCUAGAUCUGUCCUCAAGACUUGCUCUUUCCAGGGACACCAUCUUGCAUUGUAUUUGCCAACUGGAGGUGCCCUAAGUUGGGUCAGCAGCAAUGAUUAUUCCUAUCACUUACCCUUGUAUUUAUUAUCCCUUAGAGUUUUACAUUUUGUUCGAUGUCCAAUGUGUCCAAUAAGGGCUUUAACUUAAUAAUUUUAAAAUAAUACUAGGACUUACCCCUUUGGUUCUCAUUGGCCUCCCAGUGUAACUGGGGAAGAUCCCCAAACUGUAACAUAUUUAUGGUUUCGGGAGUGGGGGGAUCCCCCAGCCCUGCUGAGCAACUCUCUUCUCCCCGAAUCAGCAUGCAUUCUCAUUUUCCAAAGUGCCACCUCAAACCCUCACCACUCAAACUCUUCCCCACACCUUGAGAUAGAAAACUGAGUACUAGGUGUGAACUUGUUCAAUUUCCCCUUGCUCCCUGAGAUCUACACCUCCUUUCAUGCUCCUUGCCUACCCUAGUCUCUUCCAAAGAGGUCCCUUGUCCCCUUGUUUGUGAGGCCAUUCAUUUUGCUCCUUCCCAGACUCGGCAUAGCCAAAUAGCCUUGCUCUCAUGUCCUCAGUCUCUUUCAUGCUGCUCUACCCCCCAACAUUCUGUAAAUAUGCUUGAGUCUUUCCCAUUUGGAGAAGAUCUCCUGAUACUGGUUUCUUCUUAAUACUCAACUGCAGAUCUUGAAAGAGUUGCCUUAAUGGCUUUCCCUUGCUUAUCUCCUCAUCAUUUCUUGACCCAUUAGCCUCGUUCUUUCAGGAAUCCUCUACUGAGCGCCUACCAUGUACCAGGCGCUGUGCUGGGAUAUGGCAGGGAAAAUCCAGACAAAAAUCUCUGCCUGCAUGGAGCUUACAUUCUAGCAGUGGAGACAGAUAAUAAACAAGAUCAGUUGGUAGAUCAUGUGUGUUGUAUUAGAGUAGUGACAGGUGCUUUAGAGCAAAAUAAAGCAUGGCAAGGGAACACGGAGUGUUGAGGGUUGAGAGAUGGUUGGCACUGUAAAAUGGGAUGGCUAGAAAAGACUUCCCUGGGAAGGGUAUUUCUGAAAGAUCUGAGGGAGGUGAGGGAGCCAUAUGUGUAUCUUGAAGAAGAGCAUCACAGGCAGAGGGAAUGGCAAAUGCAAAGGCCCUGAGGCAGGAGUGGACCUGAUAUGUGGAGGGCCAGCAAGGAGGUCGCUGUGACUGGAGAGGGUGAGCAUGGUUGUGGAAGGUGGUGAGGUCUCAGGGAUUAGACGGAGGGUAGAUGCGGGUUGUGUAGGGUGCUGGAGGCCAUCGUAUGCCUGGAGCCUUUACUCAGAGUGAGAUGGGAAGGUUUCAGGGGCUUUGAGUAGAGGAAUAACAUGACUGCACUUGUGUUUCAGCAGGAUGGCUCUGGUGAGGUGCUGCAUGACUGUGGGGGGGCAGAGGUAGAAGCAGGGACAUGAGCUAGGAGGCAGGGGAGAGCGGCGGUGGCCUGGAGUAGAGGGGUGGGCGCUGAAGCCUGGGUGUAGUUUGAAGAUGUGGUGGGUAGGAUUUACUGAAUGGUUGGAUGGAAGAUGAGAGGAGAAUCGAGAUGACUCCAGGGAUUUGGGUUUGAACAGCUGAAGAGAGAGUGCUUUCACUGAGCUGGAGAAGUCUCUGGGUGAGCUGGUUUGGGGAGAAAGAGGGUGGGGCCUGUUGAAUAGAGGGGCCUGCUUCACUUUGCAGCGGCCAUGCUGAAUUCACAGUUGGUUCCAAGAGCCCAGUUCGGGGGCGGGGGGUGUCUGGGCUAGAAAGUAGAAGAGGUCCAGGGCCUGCGCCCUGAGGCUUUCAAACAUAGCGGACCGUGGAGAGAGGAUCAGCAGGAGGGGCCAUGGAAGGAGGAAAGCAGGAGCGCAUCCGCCUGUUCCCACAGUGCAGGCUUUGCUGGUUGAGGGCUCCCAGGACCCACGGUCUCCUUUUCCGUCCUCAUUCCACUUGGGCUGUUGGUGGCAUUUGACAUUUCUUCAGCUCUCUCUGUUCCUCAAGACAUCUUCUCCCUUGACCUUAUUCACACUGAAAUUGUUGCCUAUGUCUCUGACUAGUCUUUCUCAGACUCCUUCUUGGGUUGUUCUUGCCUAUUUGCCCCCUCAGCAGCAUUUCCUGGGGUUCUGACUUCCCGGCUUUGCUCUCUGUUUUGGGGUGGUUUUUUUUUUUUUUCCUCUCCCGUGGAUUAUCUCACCCACUCCCAUGGCUUCAAUGACCAUCUGCCCAUUGAUGCUUCUCAAAUCCAUGUCUUAAGUCCGGAUCUCUCACCUGUAGGGCACCCAUCUCCUGGGUGUGUCACCCUCCAAGUCCACAUGCCCUCGAGGGCAUUACUAUCCGUGCCACUUGCCCCAAUCAGCUUCUCUCCUUCCACCAUCCCGCCAGUUGCCUGAGGCCGCGGUCUUCCUCUGUCUUGGCAACCUCUUCUGAAAGGGCAAAUAGCAAAUAUCGCAGACUUUGCUGGCCCCAGCCUGUGCUCGGUUCUGCCCUUGUUACCGUAGACGGGAGGUGAAGGAACACGCAUGGCUCUGCUCCAGCUGGACCCUGACAUUUGAAUUUCAUGUAACUUUCAUGUGUCACAAAAUAUUCUCAUUCUUUUUCAGUCCUUUAAAAAUGUGAAACCCAUCCUUAGCAGUGGGGCUGCAAGAAAACAGAUGGCGGGCUCGUGGCAGCCCCGGGGCAGUGGCUUGCCCACCUCUGCUCUCUCCUGUCCCUGCACACAGCCGUCUGUCCAGGAGGCCUGUGGAUUCCGCCUUGCAUCCCCACCUCGGGUCAGGCCCCGGAAGUGCUCUUUGUCUUUUUCAACAUUGUUUCUUUCUUUUUUUUUUUCUUUUUUUUUUUAAUUUUUCCAUUUUUAUUUUCUACCUGAAAUGUUGCAAAUAUCCACCCCACUGGUCUCCCUGUCUCUGGGCCUUUUCUGUUCAAUCCACCCUUCAUUAUUUUGCCAGUAUACCGUUGUUGUUGUUGUUUUUUAUUUUUUUUUAUUCUUAUGUUAAUCCCCAUACAUUACAUCAUUAAUUUUAGAUGAAGUGUUCCAUGAUUCAUUGUUUGUGCACAACACCCAGUGCUCCAUGCAGAAUGUGCCCUCCUCAAUACCCACCACCAGGCUAACCCAUCCUCCCACCCCCCUCCCCUCUACAACCCUCAGUUUGUUUUUCAGAGUCCAUCGUCUCUCAUGGUUCGUCUACCCCUCCGAUUUCCCCCGCUUCAUUCUUCCCCUCCCGCUACCUUCUUCUUCUUCUUCUUCUUUUUUUUCUUAACACAUACUGCAUUAUUUGUUUCAGAGGUACAGAUCUGAGAUUCAACAGUCUUGCACAAUUCACAGCGCUUGUUGUUGUUUUUUUAACACCAAGGUAAUGCCCCCUCAGGGCGUUCAAGACCUCCUCAGCUGCUCCUUAGUCUCCCCUUCUGGUCUUGCCUCUGUUUCCCUUUCAGGAAGCCUCCAUUUUAGCUGCACCCAACCGCUCUUUAUUCCCCAACACAUCACGUUCUUUCACACGUGUUAACCUCUGUACGUGCUGUUCCAUAUUUCUGAAAUGACCUUCUUCCUUUCCCUAUACACCAAACUCCUAUUCAAUCAUUAAAACCCAGUUCAGAUAUCCCCUUCUGCUGGUUGCCUUCCUCGCUCCCGCAGGAAGUGAGCUGCUUCCUUCUCUCAUGCCCCCUUAUCCGUGGCUCUGCCGUGGCACUGGCCACGUUGCCCUGUGGCCGUCUGUGGGAGUGCAUGUCACACGCCACGCUGAGGGCCCCCUUCCCGUAGCCCCCCUGCCCGGCGUAGUGUUUAACACAUGGUGAUACUGGAGUUUCCAUGCGAGGAAUUUCCCCAUAUUUACCUGGGUGAAAAUAGCCCCCUGCUAACUGGUUGUGUAAUCUUAGGCCUCUUCCUCUUUGUCCAUUUCUCAUGUCAGUGGAUUAAGCUACAGAACCUCUGAGGGCCCUUGCAGCUCUGGUGUUCUGUGAUUUCUGAGCUCUCAUUUCACCAGGCUUCUCUCAAAUUCAGUUUUAUUGUCUGUGUAGGGUGGUCUGGGAAUGACAUCAUCACAAAGACCUCUUUCUUUCCUCCACUAAUGAAGGCACCUCAGUGUCGGGAGGAGGAGAUGGGCACCAGGAUAAGCGGGCCCCGGCCCAAGGACACCUCCAUAUUAGGAGUCCUUGUCUCAUGGAAUAUCUCUCUUUGGUUAACAAGCGCAGUUCGUAAUUAUGUUUUAGCCAUUAGUACAGAAGAGAUGAAAUCCUCAUGUAAACAUAUGUAAGCAUCUAAAAUCACUAUUCACUGUCAUGGAAAAAAGAACACAUUUGGGAAAAGCUCUACAACAAUUUCAGUAAUUAAAAAAAACACUUAAAAAUAAAAUAUACAUUUUUAAAUUAUUCCUUUUUUUUUUUUAAGAUUUUAUAUAUUUAUUUGACAGAGAGAGACACAGCGAGAGAGGGAACACAAGCAGGGGGAGUGGGAGAGGGAGAAGCAGGCUCCCCGCAGAGCAGGGAGCCCGAUGCGGGGCUCGAUCCCAGGACCCUGGGAUCAUGACCUGAGCCGAAGGCAGACGCUUAACGACUGAGCCACCCAGGUGCCCCCAAAAUAAAAUACUUUAAGGGAGGCACAAACGUUCUGUUAAGUGUUCAGUGUGUUCUGCAGCCGAAAUCAGGAAGAAAUCCCUAUGAAGGUUUUGUCUGAGGCCUAGAGCCCCCAGGACAAGGAGGCCUCCUCUAGCUUAGGCCCUGGACCUCGUCCCUUCCCUCCUUUUCCCUGUGGUGCCUGGGAGGGCAGGGGUUCUGUCCGUCCUGCUCCUGUUUGCACCGCACGUGCCUUGCGUGGUUCCAGAUACUCAACAAGUGCCCUACAAAAUGGCGAACCAACUGCCUGAAUCAUCAGUGGGCAUCUGACUCCUCCUGAGGGUGUCCCCAGCUUACUUCAAACUCUGCCUAACCUUGAAUGACAAUCCUGGUCCCCUGCUUUCAUCCAGGCCUCAACUUCUGGCUGCACGUGCACGGGUGCGUGUGUAUGUGUGUGAGAGAUGAAACUGCCUUCUCCCACCAGGAAUCUCUUUACCCUUUGUGGAGGGACAUUAUCACUUAGCCCCACUCUUGACAAGCACGCUAAGGCCCUGGGUCCUAGAAUCUAUAGGCAGUGAUGAUACAGUGCAGGCAGGUCCAGGGUGGAGAUCCCUCUGAGUGUAGAGGCCUGCGUUUUUGUUUUCAUCCAGAAAAGCUUGCUCUGUGAAAAUGGCGUUGCAUGUUUUCCUGAUGGAGCUAAAAUGAUGACGGGCUGAGGUGAAACAGCCUCUGGGCAAGGUUUGGGGGAGACAAAAGAAAGGUGCAGACCAAAACUGUGCAAGAAAUUCAGAAUUCCUGUAAUUCCCCCGGAGCCUGCUGGUUGCCCUCCCCCGCCUGCCUAGCCCUUCCUGCGCUUCUCCGCUCCAUUACUCACUAGGUGCCAAACCAGGGGAAUCCAUCACCACCACACUCCCCACUCCGGCCCACCCGGAAGGACCUACUAAAAGGAGAGCCUGGCUCGGAGCACAAGCUGUGGAUCGUAGCUGCUUCAUCUGUGUUCUGGCCCGGAGACACGCGUUUGCACGGAGUGCGGAUGGAUCGCUAUAGGCCUUGCUGAAAAUCUGGUUCCACUAGCAUUUACUAAGUGAUAAUUCUGUUUGCUGUGAACACACCAGCCUGCCAACGCCUUAGAAAAACCGUCUUUGUGGCUAGAGACCCUUUGUGGCUAGAGACCCUGUGUUCCCUGCAAACCAGCCUUAGGGAGAAGUUAGGCCGUGGACGGAAGAAGCGGUGAACUUCAUCGGUUGAAACAGAAAUAUUCUCUACUACCACACACUCUUGGGGGAAGGAAGAAUGAACCAAAUUGCUUAGCAUCUAAUUUUUUAAUAAAAGUAGGGUUUUUUUCCCAUUAUAAAAUUAACCCAUGCUUUAGGGAUUUACGGGAAAGUAGAAAACAGCCAUGCGAAUUGCACCUCCCAGAAGCAAUCACUGUUAGAAUUUUGACUUACUUCGGUCUAUUCUUUUUCUUCCUUAUAACUUUUUUCCUUUUUAUAAUUGUAAGUAUACCAUGUAUAUUACAUAGAUAAAAAUUCUGUAUCUCUAUUUUUCAUUUAUUAUAUCAAUAGAUUUUGUGUUGUAAAUCUUACCAAACAUACUUUUUAUAGGUGCAUAAUAUUCAUUGAGUGAAUGUCCUCUUGCUCACUUACCCAUUUCUUUUGAUCCUCUUUUUUUUUUUCUAGAAAUGAUGCUGUCCAAAACUUUUUUAAAAAGGAAGAAUAAUUUUCUUUGAAUGGAGCCCCAGAAGUACAGUUAUGGGUCAAAGGGUGACUUUUGGCUUGCUUAACACUGAUUGUUUAUCACUGAUAAACAGAGAUUCCUGCUUUUGGGUCUGGGUGGUCUUCCCAGUAGGCUGUUUGAAAGUAAAACCAGCAUCGUUAGGCUGGAAGUUUCUGUCUGCUCCUGGCUAAUGGGCCCAGGUCACUGAGUUGUGGGAUGGGGUGGGGUGGGACGGUGAUGGGUCAGGCAAGUGCACACUUCCCUCCUGGUCAGUAACAUGUUCAUAGUGAGCUCUAGAACAGGCAGAUCUUUAUUUCAGAACUUUCUCUUGGGGCCAUCCUUCCAUCCAUAUGUGGCCUGGUUUAUCAUCCCAAGUGCCUGCUCUUCUAACAAGGCCCGAGGUGCCUUGGGAAUGGUCAUCCUUGAAGUCCCCUUGGAAAUGGUCAUCCUUGAAGUAAGUCACAGCCUCCCCCUGCCCCACUGAGUUCGCACCACUUCAUGUGAGACCCAGUGAAGGUUUGGUCAAGGAGUCCCUCCUUGUCUUGACCUCUCCCUCCCUACCUCCCAACUGCUGAAUUCUUGGACUUGCCCCACACUUGGUAACCACAACUGGGAGGUCAUGACAAGACAGUGAACUGAGGGCGACGAUGGACAAAUUAAGGUUGCCAGGGUUUAGGGCUCCUUAGGACACAUGGUGCUUGCAAGCUGGGUCUCGAAACCAGAGGAAGAAACCCCUCCCCGCCCCAGGCUGACAAGAGGAGGGAUAGGAUUCGGGAGCUUUCUGAGUUUCUGAUGGAUUUUGACAAGAGUGGGCUGGGCCGAUGCCUCCAGGGCUCAGUUUCCUCAACCUGCAUUAGGAGUCAGCAGUCAGGUGUCUCAUUUCAUCUGCUAAGAGUGGAUCUGAGCCAGUUGGAGCACGUAAUUAUCACACCCAGCACCCCAGGGAGCGUUUCUUGGGCGUCAGUUGUGGAGGCAGACUCCCCCCCCCCGCCCCCCCCCCGGGAGUGGUGUGUCAGGGCAUUUAUUCAUCCUUGAAUCAUACUCCACUCCCUUCACUCAUUCCCUAUCUCUUUGAAAAUCCAGAGGCCCCUCCCCUCUUCUGUUCUGUGAAAAACCCAGUCUGACACAGGAGUUGUGAACGCGGUGGGUCUCCUGGGGAUGAUGAUGAUGUGGGACUACAAAAAAGUGAGGUUGCUGGCCUGUUUCUGCUCCCUCGGAGACCCAAACCCAGGCCGCAGGGCUCCCCAAAAUACCAGGGUGCUCCACGGAGCAGGCUCUGCACUUACUUCUUCCUAGGAUAUAUUCAUCAGUAGAACCAUUAAUCUGCCAAUUGCAGUAUGACAUUGACUUUUCCAACCCAAAACAAUUCUUUCUAAAGCAGAUUUUGUCUUAGACAACAUGGCUUUGGCCGUAGGGUGUGUGGGAGCCCCUGUGGAGAGACAAAAUGAGAGAGGGGUUCAGGAAGAGGGUCUGCGGCCCCAAUCUCCAAGUUGAGGGGAUGGGGCAAUCCAGGUUUAUUAGGGCAGGCGUUGAGGUGACAGGGUCCCAAGGUUCUUGGCCUCUGUUGAGUGCCUGAGUUCUGAAUCUGAAGGGCUUAUCCAAGUCCAGGCUGGGGUCUCAGCUUCAGGGGCCUGGGGGCAGACACCGGCAGAAGUUAGCAGGCAAGUCAAGACCCUAGCUGAGCAGGUGAGGGGCAGGGGCAGGCUACGGCCCCAAUGUGGACUCAUCCUGACCCCACAAAUGGAGGUCGUUGAUGAGUCUGCCAGUGCUCACACAGGAACCCGGGGUCUCGCCUCACUCAUUGCCCCCACCCCCCUACACUCCCGGCUUGGAAAUCAACUUUCCUCUUAGUGGAGAGGGGUUUCCUAUUUACGGUAAGCCUGAGCUGUCCCUGACUCCCAGCCCUGGUGGGGCCGACCUAUAGAUGACAGGUAGUGACUAGUGACAGCUGGGAGAAGCAGGGGCAGCAGGAACCAACGUUUUUUGAUGCUGUUUGCAAAACACAAGUUGCAUUUUAAAGCAACCCAGGACACGGGCAAGUGCCGAAAUAGCCCUUUGCAAGGAGUAGUAGCUGCCUCUUAGCUGACAGUUGCAAGGCCUGUCCUGGUGGACUCCGUAGCCCCUCCAGCACAUGUCCAAGGGCCUGGAGAACAGAACGAUCUCUUCGCCUGCUUUUCCUCCCCGCCUGUCAUUAUGGUAAAUUACAAGGCUCCCAUGAUGACUAUGGAGAGGCAGAUUGAUUUUGUUCCUUGUGGUUGUCGCUGUGCUCAACGUGGCCGGGGUGAUGGGCACCCAGAUUUCACACCUGGUAAUGGCCCUGCCAGGGGUGGAUGUGAGCACAAUUGGGACCUGACACUUCAAUAAAUCGGAGACAUUCUGCUGUGGAGAUCAAAGUUCAGAAUUGCUUAAAUUGGUGUUGGAGCAGGUGGGAAACAGGAGUCCAGAGCCAUGAAUUGGAUAGAAAACAAUUGUCGUUCAAUUUGUAAGACCUGAAUGUCAGCUUUUCGAAUGAUAUGACACCAAUUUAAGUGAGUUGGGCUCCCAGCUACCUAGCCUAUUUAGUAUGACUGGUUUGGGAAAGUGUGAUUCAUGGUCUAGCUUAUGUCCUUAAAGGGGAAGGGCUUGGAGAACCAACCCUGCUUGUAUCUCUGGGGUCAGGCAGUUGUGUUCGGGGAGGGGGGUGGUAUCACUGGGUUAUCUGUGUUCGUGGGCGUGUGGAUGACAGUUUCACCUCCUACCUGGAUGUGUUGGUAAGCCCCCAAGCUCCAUUUCCCGCCGUGACCUCUCUCCUGAGCUUUAGACUCAUUACAUGUUUAUGUCACAGCAUCAGUCCUUGUACACAGAGGUGAAGCUGGAUUUUAACAGGCCAUAUCGUUCUCAAAGGCUCCAGAUGAGGUGGGGUUGUGCUCUGUGUUCUGAUGGCAGCUCAAGUCCAGAGGAGAGGUAGUUUGAUCUCUGUGAAUGAAUGGGUACCUUUUUUAUAUUUAUUCUUUCUUAGGAUUGCAGUUUUAUUGAGGUACAGUUCCCCAUUUAAACAGUGUAAUUCUCUGGUUUUUAGUAUAUUCACAGUUGUGCAACCAUUGACACAAUUCUAGAACAUUUUCAUCACCCCAAAAAGAGACCUUGUGCCCAUUAGCAGUCACCCUACCUUCCCUCCCUAUUCUCCUACCCCCCCCAGGAGCCGCUAAUCUAUAUUCUCUCUCCAGAUUUGCCUAUUCUGGACAUUCCGUAUAAAUGGAGUCAAACAAUCAUUCUAUGGUUUUUUUCCAUUGGCUUUUUUCACUUAGGGUAGUAUUUUCUUUCUUUCUUUCUUUCUUUUUUUUUUUUAAAGGAUUUUAUUUGUCGGAGAGAGAGAGAGUGAGUGCACAAGCAGGGGGAGGGGCAGAGGGAGAGGGAGAAGCAGACUGCCUGCUGAACAGGGUGCCUGAUGAGGGACUUGAUCCCAGGACUCUGGGGUCAUGACCUGAGCUGAAGGCAGACGUUUAACUGACUGCGCCACCCAGGCGUCCCCUUAGGGUAGUAUUUUCAAGGUUCAUCCAUGUCGUAGCAUCCAUCAGUACUUUGCUCCUUUUCACGGCCGAAAAAUAGCCUGUUCGAUGGAUAAUACCACAUUUUGUUUAUCCAUGCAUCAGUUGAUGGACAUUUUGAUUGUUUGCACUUUUUGCUGUAAUAAAUAAUGUAGCUAUCAAUUUUCAUGUACAAGUUUUUGUGUGGACAUAUGUUUUCAUUUCUCUCGAGUACAAGAGAAUAUGUUUCGCAUUUUGAAGAACUGCCAGGCUGUUUUCCAAAGGGGCUGCACCAUUUAAUACUCCCACCAUCAGGGCGUGUCUCCACAUCCCCACCAACACUUGUUACCGUCUUUCUUUUUUGAUGGUAGCCAUCGCGGUGGUGUGAAGUGUAGCUCACUGUGGUUCUCAUUUGCAUGUCCCUGAAAGGUCAUGAUGUUGAUCAUCUUUUCAUGUGCUUUUUGGACAUUUGUAGAUCUUCUUGGGUAACCAUGCCCCCAUAGAGUUCAUUGCACAUCUCCCCAGUCCUAAGCAUGAAGAGGACUCUGGCUGCUCACCCAGAAAGGUACAUGGCAAGAAAGUCUCAUCCUCCCAUUUUUUUAAAUGUUGGUGGGGAGUGCCAGAGACUUGUUGCAUCCUGUAUGAGGUGCUGUUCAUCUUGCAGAAUGACUGUAUUCCUGAAAUAUUUCCUGUUAAGCAAAUGGUCAUAAUCCUGUUUUACCACUGGCUGUCAUUAUUAAAUUGGAAAUUGAUUGGAAUAAAACUUUGGGCCCAAAUUGUAAAUGUGGGAAAUUCCUGUUGGUAUACUAUUAUAUUUCACAUAAUAAUACUAAAAACAAUGAUAAUACCAUUAGGGCAUCAGGGGCAAGCGCUUAUGAUGCUCUAUGGGCCAGGCAAUGUAGUAGAUGCUUCAGAUAUAUUAAUGUUUGAUCUUCCUAACAACCCCAUGAAAUAGGUAUUAGCAGCUUUGCCCCUUUACAAAUGGGGAAAGUGAAGAACAGGGAGGCCAGGUAACUUGCCCGAGGUCAAAGCUCAUGUACUAGUUAAGGUAACACUAGCUGCUAUAACAGAUAAGCCCCAGAUUCUCAGAAGCUUAUCAUAAUAAAAAUUUAUUUCCUGCUUAUAGCAGAACCCCAUGGCAUCAUUUUUUUUUUUUUUUUAAGUGAUCUCUACACUCAGUGCGGGGCUUGAACUCAUGAGCCUGAGAUCAGGAGUCGUAUGCUCUACUAACUGAGCCAGCCAGCCCCCCAACUCCAGCCUCCUUGAUUGGAUUGCCUUCCACAUGGUCAUUCAGGGAUCCAGGUACCUUUCAUCUUAACAGUCUUCCUUCUUCCAUGUUCUUUGGGUCCUCACCAAUCAAUCAAGGGGGCCUGGUGAGAAAGACAGCAAGACUUCAGUGGGAGGUUCUUACCUGGCAGGCACUGACUUGAUGCAUAUCACUUCUGCCCACUUACCACUGGCCAGAGCUCAGUUUUGUGGCCGCACUUCAGUGCAAAAGAGGCAAAGAGACAUAGUUGUUGGCCCAGAGGGAAAGGAAAUGAAUUCUGGCAAAUACACGCAUUGUUUUGCCAUCACUAGCAAGUGGAAGACCUAGGAUUUGAACCGGGGCAGUCUGGCUCCAGAGCAUUGCUCUUAACUAGAACAUUCUACCAUCUCACUGUGAACAACAGCUCAAAGUCAGAGAAAAGUGUGGAGAGUUACACCACUUUUUACUCCGUGUUAUUCCCACCCAGAUGCUGGGCUUGGGAAUUCUAUCAAAUUCUAUCAAAGUCAUUGUCUUUCAGUGCCAGGCUCUGUUCUCUACAUUUUUACAUGUUCUAUUUCAUUGAAUCCUCAUAAUUACCCCCAUGAGAUAGGGGAUUAUGAUUAUUCCCAUUUUCCAGGUGAGGAGGCUAAAACCAAACGCUUGGGUGUGCCUCCCGGUGUAAGUAAGUGGCGUCUCUGGGCUUCUAGCACCUUCAUAUGAAACGACCGAGCACGGGGGGGUUUGAAGGGAAGGUGAGAGAAGAUGAGAAAGUCCACGCCACCAAACCCCAGCUAGAACCUUAUUUGGAUCCUGCUUCAGAAAAAUCAACUUCUUCAGGGCACCUGGGUGGCUCAGUUGGUUAAGCGACUGCCUUCGGCUCAGGUCAUGAUCCUGGAGUCCCGGGAUCGAGUCCCGCAUCAGGCUCCCUGCUCUGCAGGGAGUCUGCUUCUCCCUCUGACCCUCCUCCCUCUCAUGCUCUCUGUCUCUCAUUCUCUCUGUCUCAAAUAAAUAAAUAAAAUCUUUAAAAAAAAAAAGAAAGAAAAAAAAAGAAAAAUCAACUUCUUCAAGUGAUUUAUGGGACAAUCAGGAAAAAGUAACCACUCACCGGCAAUGGAUGACAUGAAGAAAUCAUUAUUAAUUUGUAGGGUGUGAGAACAGCGUCGUGGUCAUGUUAAAAAAGACGGAAGUCCUUAUCUUUUCCAGGUACAUACUGAAAUGUGUAGUGGACGGCAUGAUAAGAUGUCUGGAAGUUGCUUUGGAUAAUGCAGUGCAGGGGUUGAGGUGUAGCAACAAGGGGCCACGAAUUGCUCAUUAUUGCAGAACGAUGAUGGGUACAUGGAGGUUUGUUGUACUAGUCUCUCACUUUGGGGUGUAUUUGAAAUUUCCUGUAAUAAUUAUAAUAAAAAAGAAAACUUUAGGGCGCCUGGGUGGCUCAGUUGGUUAAGCGACUGCCUUCAGCUCAGGUCAUGAUCCCAGGGUCCUGGGAUCGAGUCCCGCAUCGGGCUCCCUGCUCUGCGGGGAGCCUGCUUCUCCCUCUCCCACUCCCCCUGCUUGUGUUCCCUCUCUCGCUGUGUCUCUCUCUGUCAAAUAAAUAAAUAAAAAUCUUUAAAAUAAAAAAAAAGAAAAGAAAACUUUAAUGAAUGGGCUUUCUGUAGCCCCCUAGUUUGUAAAUGAAGUGAUGAGGUUGGGCUCAGAGCACAGAACAUGUUCGUUAAGAACAGUUGAGCAGGGAUUCCUGAGUGGCUCAGUCGGUUCGGCGUCUGCCUUCGGCUCAGGUCAUGAUUCCGGGGUCCUGGAAUCGAGCCCUGCAUCGCAUCGGACUCCUUGCUCAGCGGGGAGCCUGCUUCUCCCUCUGCCUGUCACUCCCCCCUGCUUGCAUGCUCUCUCUCUCUGACAAACAAAUUAAAAAAAAAAAAAUCUUAAAAAAAAAAGAACAGCUGAGCAGCCUGGAAGAUUUUCUAAAGCAGGCCAUCAGGGGCUCUGUUUGGGCAUCAUUGGCCCAUGUUUGAAUUCUGAGAUUCUCCCAGAGGCAGCGUUUAGUGCCCAGAGAACUGAGCUCCUGAAGACGAACCUGGGGCCUCCAAAAGGCAGAUACACAGGCUCCCUGGGUGAGGCGGAUCCAGGCUGAGGGUGGGUUUUGCCCUGGCCCAGCGGCCUCCACACAGGCUAGCUGUGCAGCAUGCGACAAAUAUCUCGCUGAAAGGUACAGCACGGCCCCGGGCCCCAGCUGCACUUUAAUUAAACGGUGAAAAUCCAUCAAAGACUCGGCCUUCUCAGUCAGCCAGUUCUCUGAGUCCCAGGUGAAGCCAGCUCUCGGCUGGCUGCGGGCCAGGAGGAAGGUGAGCUGCAGGCCCUCCCAAGUCCCUGCCUAAAAUCAACAGCCAGGGCUCCGCAGCCAGCUUCUGACCUGAUGCAAAUUAAGCUUGGCAUUUGGCGAUGGUAUUAAAUGUCCUAAAUCAAUAUUCUAGAGGCAGGAUCAGAACAAUUAAAAACCCUGAUUUCCUCCUUGGAUCAUUGGAGUAUAUAUGAAUAUAAAUUGUCAGUUCACUUUUCAAACUCAGCAGGCUGAGAAAGAGGGAGGUCAGCCUGGUGAUGCUGUGAGCAUAGUUUAUUUCAUCCUCAGCAUCUUUUCCUAUUUUUACAUGUAUGCAGCAUGUGUCAAGCACACAGGGGCAUUCGUGUGUGAUGAAACGUUUAAUCCCUGCAGUAACCCCGGGAGGUUCUGUCAUCCCCACUUUACAGAUGAGCUAACAGAGGCUCAGGUGAAGUGACUUGCUCAGGGUGUCAGCUACUAAGUGGUAGAGCAAGGAUUUGAGUUAAUUCCUUCAAGCUCAAGUCCAGUGCUUUGCCCACUGUAACACAGCUGGCUUUUCUUCAUAGUGUUUAUGUUUCAUUCAUCAGUAAUGAUAAUUAAUAACAAUGGAUGAACCAUAACAAGAGUGACUGUUUAAUAAUUUAGUUUCUCUAGUCUUAAAAGAUACUGGCAGUUUUUCUGGUUUUCCAUUUGUUCAACCGUUUAUUGAGGGGCAGCCUGGGAGGGAGGUUUCUGGGCUCUGGAGUGCACCAGACUGGUCCCACCGCAUACAGGCUGUGUGACCUGGGACAAGUUCAUCAUCCUCUCUGAGCCCAGGCUUCCUCAUCUGUAAAAUGGGAUGGUACUCCUCCCACCCCCCUGGGGUUGUCAUGGAGAUGAAAGGAGUAGAGACUUGCAAAGUGUUUAAAGUGGGGUUGUCAUGGAGAUGAAAGGAGUAGAGACUUGCAAAGUGUUUAAAGUAGGGCCUGGCUCUCAGUGGGCAUUCUAGAAAUCUGAGUCCCUGGCAGACACUGUCAAGGCCCUAGAGGAAGACCUAUGUCUCUGCUCUCAUGGAACUCGCCUCUUAUGUUUAGCCAGUUAAUAUUAUUGCUCCUAUUUUCAUUAAACUAGCUAAACAUAUUUAUGUUUAUAGUAAAAAAAUUCAAAGAGGCCAGAAAUAUAAACUGAAAAGGAAGGACUCCUCCUUCUUUCCUAUAGUCGGGAUUUAGAUAGACUGGUGUAGCCUGUAAUAACAGUAAUAAUAAUAAUAGUAUAUAGUAAUGUAAUAAUAGUGUGUCAGGAAUGCUCUGUUGUGCAAGCAUACGCACUUGUCUUCUUUCUAUACAACUGGAAUGCCACUGUAAAGGGUGUUUGACAGUUUAUACUUUUCCACUUACCUAUUUACCCAUCUUGCGUACAGGCAUACCUCAUUUUAUUACACUUCACUUUAUCACGUGUCGCAAAUAUUGCAUGUUUUUUGUACAAAUUGAAGGUUUGUGGCAACCCUGCAUCAGGCAAGUCUGUUGGUGCCAUUUUUCCAACAACAUUUGUUCGCUUCAUAUCUUUGUGUCACAUUUUGCUAAUCCUUGCAAUAUUUCAAACUUUGUCAUUAUUUGUUCCGGAGCUCUGUGAUCAGUGAUUACGACUCGCUGAAAGCUCAGGUGAUGGUUAGCAUUUUCUGGCAAUAAAUUUUUUUUUUUAAAGAUUUUAUUUAUUUAUUUGACAGAGAGAGAAUGAGAAAGAGAGCACAUGAGAGGGGGGAGGGUCCGAGGGAGAAGCAGACUCCCCGCGGAGCAGGGAGCCUGAUGCGGGACUCGAUCCCGGGACUCCAGGAUCAUGACCUGAGCCCAAGGCAGUCGCUUAACCAACUGAGCCACCCAGGCGCCCCGGCAAUAAAAUAUUUUUAAUUAAGGUGUAUACAUUUUUAAAGACAUAAUGCUAUUGCAUACUUCAUAGAUUAUAAUAUAGUGUAAACAUAGUUUUUAUAUGUACUGGGAAAACAAAAAUUUCAUUUUACUCUAUUGUGAUAAUUGCUUUAUUGCAGUGGUCUGGAACCAAGCCUGCAAUAUCUCCAAGGUAUGCACGUGUCUUUCACAUAUGGAUUUACCUCAUUUUUAAAAUUUUAUUUAUUUAUUUAUUUAAGAUUUUUAAAAUUUAUUUGACAGAGACACAGGGAGAGAGGGAACACAAGCAGGGGGAGUGGGAGAGGGAGAAGCAGGCUUCCCGCUGAGCGGGGCUCGAUCCCAGGACCCCGGGAUCAUGACCUGAGCCGAAGGCAGAUGCUUAAUGACUGAGCCACCCAGGCGCCCCGGAUUUACCUCAUUUUUAAAACAACUUUAUGCAUGGCCUGGGUGUGCCAUAGUUAAUUUAACCAUUUCUCUAUUGAUGCGCAUUUAAGGUUUUUGUGGUGUUUUGCGCCUCCAAACAGUGCUGCAUUAAGCCUGCUUGCAAACAAAUAAAGGCAUUCUGUAUCUGUUUAUCUGCAUAAUAAAUUCUUACAGAUGGAAUUGCUGAGUCAAAAAUUUGUUAGGCCUGACUUUUGUUGGAUAUUACCAAAUUGCUCUCGAAAAAGGAAAUGCUAGGGAAGAAAAGUGCUACCCAAGCUUUAAAACUCAUAUUUCUUGUGAAGAAUUCAGUUUUGAAAGAGAGGGUGGAAAUGAAAAGUCAGCCUGAUCUUUCCUUUUGCUGGGAAUGCUUUUCCUUGCCCACACAUUUUUAGGCAUCAAAUUCUCAGGCUCCUGUCCUCGGUGCUUGGUACAGACAGAAUGUUCUAGAUUUCAAGGCAAAAAUCUGUGUGUGCUUAACUAUCUCUCCACUCCCAGGCCCCCCUGCCCCCCAUUCUCUGAGGGAAGGACUUCUGUUCUCUCUCUAACUUUCAGGAUACAUCGGCCUCAUGCUUUUCUGGAAUGGCCUCUCUUUGCUGCAGAGGUCCAGAUUUCUCCCUGGGGGAGAAAGUCCCACAAGAGCAUCUUCAAGUGGAUAUCUGAAGCCAGGGUCUUGCUAAGCGUCCACCAGCCUGGCCCAGGCCUUUCGGCUCCUCCUUGAAUUCCUCCAGGCCCAGAAACAGCUGGGUGCCGCCAGUGUCCUUCUUUCUGCCUCCAACAAACUGAUUUCCUUUUAGGGAUGACUGCUCCACCAACCCCCAGCCAACCAGGAGCAGAAAACCCGAUGACGAAGAUAAUAAAUUGCGUCCAGGGCCACAGGCGAGGAGGGGGGAGGAAUGACUCAUGAGUCCCUACAUCCUCCUGCUACAUUCCAAGAGCUGCCUUCCUCAGGGCUUAAAUCACUCCCUAAGAGCAACACCCCAACCAGACUGACCAGACGGCGGAGGAAGGCCAGUUGCUGUUUGCUGGCUGGGUGAGGGGGAUGCAGUGAGGGCCCUGGCUGGACUUUUUUUUUCUCUGCGCCAGAUCUUUUGAACCGGCUGGUGACCCUGGCUCCCCCUGGGAAGAAGGCACAGGGCAGGUCUGCUCUCAAGGGGCUCAUGGUCUAGCCUCUAGGGACCCCUGUGCUAUGCCUAGCCCACCGCCCUGGAGGGAGACAGACCUAAUAGUGUGGUGACCCUGGGCGAGUCACUUCAUCUCUCUGAACCUCAGUUUCUCCCCGACAAAAUGGGAAAGAAGAAUUUAGUACUGAUCUUUAGGGUUGUUCGUAAUUAAUGAGGUAAUUCAUGUCCGGUGCUUAGCAUGGAAGCCAGCGCACCUAAAGCACUUAAUACUUGGUAUUUAGUGCCACUGCUACAUUCCUCUUGACAAUUUUGCAAAUAAAAAAUUAGGAAACAUGGUCCGGCUGUGGCUGUCACCCCUGCCGAUGAUCUGUAAUAAUAAUAGUGAACUUUUAUGUGGAGCGUACUGUGUUGUAGGGCUUUAUGUAUGUUGACUCAUUUAAUCCUGCCAGACCCCACGAGUAGCUAUGCAAUAGAUUCUAUUAUUAUUGUCCCCAUCUUCUGCGUGAAUAUACCGAGGCAUGGAGAGGUUGAAGAGCUGGCCCCUAGUUAGUAAAUAACGGAGCCAGGAUUCAGACCCAGGUCGUCAGCUCUAAAAGCUACUUUCUUAACCACUAUUAUCAUCCUGCUUCUCAGUUUAUGUUUGUACGUUUCUAUAAGACCGUUUUCCGAAGUUACAGCAGUUAAGUGACAUUUAUUUUCUUCUUUUUGCUUGCAUUGAGAAAAAUGUUGGUUUUUCUUAUAAUAGCAACAUAGCAUUAUUUAAAAAAUUGAAAAAUACAGAAGAGGAAGGUCAAAGUAUUUGUCUACAGUACUACCACCUGACCAGUGGUCUAGAUAAAGGCUGGUUCUUUUUUGUUUUCUGUACUUUAUGGACAGUGGUAUCCUCCUGUGUGUGACGACUGGGUAGCUCAUGUCACCUGUAACUCUCUGUUUAAGUUUGACAAGAGUCAAGCUGGUCUAUACCCUGCUUACCUGUACGAUUCCUUGGAGCUUGUGCUCGGAUGUUACAGGAAUAGCAAAUUGCUAAAAGUUUCUCAAUUAUUUUCUUGUUUUGUGAAGUGACACAUGGUUCACAGACUCAUGCUGGUCUAUGAAUCAUACUCUAAGCAGCACUGACCUGGACAAACACUGUUUACAUUUUAACAUACUUAUUUCCAGUAUUUUUCUAUGUUUUUUUGUUUGUUUAUUUUUAGUCUGUAUGCACAUUUCUUUUGCUCACUACCCUUCUCAUUACAAUGUUACUGUAAACUAUUCUUGAGUAUAAUCUUUUUAAAAAUUUGUUUGUUGUUUUUAAAGAUUUUAUUUAUUUAUUUGACAGAGAGAGACAGCGAGAGAGGGAACACAAGCAGGGGGGAGCUGGAGAGGGAGAAGCAGGCUCACCGAUGAGCAGGGAACCCGAUGUGGGGCUCGAUCCCAGGACUCUGGGAUCAUGACCUGAGCCGAAGUCAGUCGCUUAACUGACUGAGCCACCCAGUCGUCCCAGUUUAAGUAUAAUCUUUAAUGACAAUAGUAAUAUUCCAUCUGGAAGAUGUACCAUAGAUUACUAACCUAGUCCCUUUUUCAUGGGGUUUGGUAUGUUUCCAGUUAAUUGCCAUGAUAAAAAUAUGAUGGUGAAUAGUUUUAGUAUAAUUACUUUUCCAUAUUUAACAUUAUUGCCAUAGGGUAGAUUUCCUAGUAUGGAAUGACUGGGUCAAACAAUAUAAAGCCUUUUAAAUGUCUUUUUUUUUUUAAGAUUUUAUUUAUUUAUUUGACAGAGAGAGAAUGAGAGAGAGAGAGAGAGCACAUGGGAGGGGGGAGGGUCCGAGGGAGAAGCAGACUCCCUGCCGAGCAGGGAGCCCGAUGCGGGACUCGAUCCCGGGACUCCAGGAUCAUGACCUGAGCUGAAGGCAGUCGCUCAACCAACUGAGCCACCCAGGCUCCCCAAGCCUUUUAAACUUCUUGUUAGAUAUUACCAAAUUACCUUUUUUUUUUUAAAGAUGUUAUUUAUUUAUUAAAGAAAGAGAGCAGGGGAGGGGGAAGAGGAAGAGAAUCUCCAGCAGGCUCCACGUUGAGCGAGGAACCCAAUGCAGGGCUUGAUCCCACAACUGUGAGAUCAUGACCUUUGGUGAAGUCAAGAGUCAGAUGCCCAACCGACUGAACCACCCAGGGGCCCCCCAAAUUACUUUCUAAAAGGGAUGUGCCAAUAUGUGCUUUCCAGAGUAGUCUGAAGUGUGCCUGUUACUACAUCCUUUUCUGCAUUCAAUAUUAUCAUUUAAUUAAGGGACCAAUCUUAAUUAUUUUGAGUUUCUUUGAUUACUGAUGAGGUUGAACAUUUUCCACACUUGUAGCCAUUUAUAUUUACUCUUUGGUUUUAUACCCAGUUGAGCACUAGAAUAAAAUAUUAUGACUUGGCACAGAUUUCACACUACUUUAGACUGGAAGCCAAGUAAACCUGUAUAUAAAGUCUGUAACUGUUGAUGUAUGGUAUCUCCAUUAUUGAGGUCUUUCCCCUUUUCUCUGCUGCCAGAAUUGGGGGAUGCUUUUAUAUGAUCUUUUUUUUUUUUUUUAAAGAUUUUAUUUAUUUUUUCAUGAGAGUGAGAGAGAGAGAGAGGCAGAGGGAGAAGCAGACUUCCCGCAGAGCGGGGAGCCCGAUGCGGGACUCGAUCCCAGGACUCCGGGAUCAUGACCUGAGCUGAAGGCAGUCGCUUAACCAACUGAGCCACCCAGGCGCCCGCUUUUAUAUGAUCUUUAUGGUGGUCCUCAUCUUUAGAAAAAUCCGUCUGAAUGCAUACCUAAUACCAUGUACCAAUAAUGUAGCAAGUAUAUGGUCUGAAUAUUUGUGUUCCGCCCCCACGCCCCGAAUGCAUAUGUUGAAAUCCUAACCCCCAGGUGAUGGGUUAGUCUCUGGGGCCUUCGGGAGAUCAUUUGGGGGAACUUAGUGCCUUGAUAAAAGAGGCUCCAGAGAGAGCCCUUGGCCCUUCCACCAUGGGAGGACAUAGGAAUGGGGUGCUGGCUAUGAACCAGGAAGCAGGUUCUCGCCAGACAUACCCAUGGUGGUACCUCGGUCUUGAACUUCCUAGCCUCCAGCACUGUGAGAAAUGUAUUUCUGUUGUUUCGAAGCCAUACAGGCCAUGGUGUAUUGUUGUAACGGUGCGCAGGGACGGACACAGGGACUUAUUGCCCAUAUGUCCUCGGCUAUGUUUUCUCUCUCCUUUUUCCUUUCUCUCUUUCUCCUUUUGUUUUUUGGACCUAUUUAGGAAGUAUUGCAUGCUAGCUUGAAUGAAUCAGUUUUUUUUUUUUUUUAAAGAUUUUAUUUAUUUAUUUGAGAGAGAGAGAAUGAGAGACAGAGAGCAUGAGAGGGAGGAGGGUCAGAGGGAGAAGCAGACUCCCCGCUGAGCAGGGAGCCCGAUGCGGGACUCGAUCCCGGGACUCCAGGAUCAUGACCUGAGCCGAAGGCAGUCGCUUAACCAACUGAGCCACCCAGGCGCCCUUGAAUGAAUGAGUUUUUGAAACUACUGAUCCAUUGGAAUUUCUGAUGUACUUUUAUGAAUUAUGAGCAAAAUAGGAAGACCUUUUGAAAUCUGGAUGAUUUGGGGAAAUUCUAGAUGCCUGAACUCAAACAUUUAACCGUAUUCCUGUGUAUGUGAGCAGUGUGGGCCAAGCAAGGCCUGAGGAGUGACGAGGCAAUUUGGGCUGGAGUCUAGCACUGAAUGCUCACCUGUAUUUCCCCCAAAGGGACUUGUUGAGGACUUGUUUGCUUUUUAAUAACAUUAGGAGGUAUUUAUCCAUAAGGCAGGGAUAUCUCUGUAUGCCCCAAAGUGUGCCCUUUCAAAGUAUAUGACGAUGGCAGAGUGUAGUGGUAAUGGUGGGACCAAGGUAUUUCCCUGCAGCCGAUUUCCCCCUUGACAAGUCUCGGGUCCCCUCCCUGGCUCAGUAGAUAUUUUUAGACAAUGCAAAAGACCAUAAUUGGAACCUAUAGUGACCUGAUAGGCAAAAUAAUUAAGCUAGCUAAAAUAUGUGGAUAUUAAUGGAAUUUAGAAAGAAAGUUUAUCUAAUUUUAUAUGUAGGAAAGCUCUUUUUUUUUUUUUUUUUAAAGAUUUUAUUUAUUUAUUUGACAGAGAGAGACACAGUGAGAGCAGGAUCACAAGCAGGGGGAGAGGGAGAGGGAGAAGCAGGCUUCCCGCGGAGCAGGGAGCCCGAUGCGGGGCUCGAUUCCAGGACCCUGGGACCAUGACCUGAGCCGAAGACAGACACUUAACGACUGAGCCACCCAGGUGCCCCUGUAGGAAAGCUCUUAAUAAGUGUCCACAAAAAAGCAUACUAUGUUCAAAUUAGUUCAGAAAAGCUAGGUUAAAAGAGCUUCAUUUUUUCCUAUUAAAGCUUAUUACACUCUCUGAUUUUCCAAAGCAGCAGCAAAGUAAGAUAUAGUAUUCAGUUUUUCCAAACUUCUUUUGCCUAUGGGAUCGUAUUUUUCAAGAAGCUCCUACUAACCCCUUGCAAAAUAGUUCUUUGCAGCAUACAACAGACCAUGGAAAAUGCUGGAACCAGGCCAGUUUCUGUGGCAUUGAUGUUCACAUUGGUCAUGAAUCUUGGGGAUCCCUGAAGCUGGGGAUCAUUGUCCUGAAGCACAGAUCAUUUGUGAAAUGGGAGUGAUAGCUCAUACUUUGUAAGGGUUGGUUUUUGUUUUUGUUUUUUUAAAGAUUUUAUUUAUUUAUUUGAGAGAGAGAGAGUGAGAGAGAGCCCAUGAGAGGGGGGAGGGUCAGAGGGAGAAGCAGACUCCCCACCGAGCAGGGAGCCUGAUGUGGGACUCGAUCCAGGGACUCCAGGACCAUGACCUGAGCCGAAGGCAGUCGCUUAACCAACUGAGCCACCCAGGCGCCCAUAAGGGUUGGUUUUUGAAAUGUAGUUCUUCGCCUACCAGCCCUUCUUCAUGUCCGAUGGUAGAUCAAUAACCUUUGGGGAGCAAUAGGGUUGGGAAACCAUGAUCCCACGUCCAGUCUUUAAUGGCACUAAAAGUGUUUCUUCCUCUUACUAAAUAGACCACGAUCAAGGCAGCCCCGUAUGUGGAGACAUUUUACACAUCUCUGGUUAGAGGACAAUAUCGCACAGUCAUUAAGGAGAAUACUCUCUCAGGGGUAUGACCGCCUGUGCCUAAUCCAGCCUUGCCACGGAGUGAACUAUGUGGCUUGGGGCCCUUAGUGAACCCAUCAUAAUCCUUAAGUUCCCUAGCUAUAGGAUAAGGAUAAUUUCACCCGCUAGGAUUGACGUUGGGAAUAAAAAUGCGUGUAAAGUGCUGGGGCGCCUGGGUGGCGCAGUCGUUAAGCAUCUGCCUUAGGCUCAGGUCACGAUCCCAGGGUUCUGGGAUCAAGCCUCUCAUCGGGCUCCCUGCUCAGCAGGGAGCUUGCUUCUCCCUCUGCCUGCUGCUCCCCCUGCUUGUGCUCUCUCUCUCUCUCCCUGACAAAUAAAUAAAUACAAUCUUAAAAAGAAAUGCGUGUGAAGUGCCUAGAGCCCCGGGUGUUAGCCGAGGUCCUGGUGGGAAGAGUUGGCCCACUCUCAGAGCAGUGUGGGAAUGAAGGGACCUUUACAAAGCUGUGGGUGGGGUGGAAGGGAACCAGCGAGGGUGAGGCACCCCAGGACUGACAAGAGCAGGGAACACGGACUACCCUGAGGCCUUCUGGGACAUGGGAACGGGGUGCUGACCCGCUGCUGGGGACAGAGCUGUGGCUGGAGGAGAGUGACAGUCCCUGCCGGUUCAUGGCCCAGCAGGGAGGGGCCCAGGAGUGAACGUUCUACCGCAUCCCAUGACUGAACCCAACCAUGGCAGAGAGGGGAUGUGGAGUGGCAGAUGGAUAGCUCACAUGGGAAGAGCUCAGUUCAUGCUGACUAAUUUUGAUGGGUACUGUGCCAUUCAUUUCCAUUUUGAACUUGGUUACUUACUACCUGUGUCACUUUUGGAAAAUUGAAAAUGACCUGACCUCCUUGUGCCCCAGCUUCCCACUCUCUCCACAGAGGACAUACUAACUGGUGCCUUUCUUGUGACGUCAGAUAACGAGUACCUGUCGGUGCCUGGCACAUAAUGAGCUCUGAGUACAUGUGAAGGGUGGAGCUGUUCCAUUCCACUUUGCCGCACGUAAUGCACGUGUACGCAUAAGAACAAGCUCAUUUUCCUCCGGGGUCUGGCCUUCUAUCUGAAAGCUUAAUACCUUUCUGAUCUCGUGAUUCAGUGGCUGAGUCUCCAUUCCGGACCUCAACCCAGUCCCAGAAACCUGAACACCUUUUUCUGAUGCUUCUGGUAACUUUUCUGUAAUGUACUUGGCACAGCUGAGAAGGUUACUUCUCAGUCCCUCUCUACAGCCCGUGGUUAGCUCUGCCCCUUAAAUCUUUGUGAAGUACAGGUCAUCAAGCCCAAAAGCACAAGUCUCAGCUUCCCACCUCCCUUCCUCCCCACAGAGACCAGUAUGGGGCAGCUCUAAGGUGUGGUUGUCUUUUCUGUUUCCCUUCCCUCCCUUUCUUUUCCAGGGCUUCACUGUGAAACCCCUACUCCAUUCUGCCUUCUGCUUUCCCCCCUCGUCCCCCUCCUCUGCUAUUUCUGUUAAUUAAUUGAGGGAGGAGGGGCAGGAGGAAUCCUCUGGCUUUUUCAGCUUUGUCAUGAGCAGCCAGAGGACUUGGUUUUGAGGUCACCAGGACGUGGAGCAGGGGCCCUGAUUUGUGCGCUAGUGGAUGGGAGGAUACCACGCGACCUUUAAGGACGCUGCUUCCCGGAGGCUUCCACAUGCUGAGGAUAGGAGUGCCCUCCCCUUCCAGUGCCCAGCCAGUGCUUUGAGCAUUUCAGCUAUGCCGGAGGGAUUGGGAUGUGGUGGGACCCAGAGAGUAUCAGCCAAAUACUUGAAGUACGGUGUCAGCAUUUAUGCAGUGGGGAUGGGGAGAAACUGUGAUUUAUAUAAAUAAAGCUAGUAAGCCUAUUUAUAUUAAAACUAGGGGAUUACAUGUGUUUAUUUCAUGUGAGUUUCUGAACUAAGCAAGAUCUUGGAAACACAGUAAAGGAGUUAAAAUUUAGUUAUUCAAACACAUUAUUUAUUCCCACAAAAUGGCUCACAAUGUCUAGGGUGAUUUUAGAAUUUCAGCUGAUCUGGACCUGCUGACUUUAGAUUCCUGUGAGCCGGCUGGUUUCGGGGUUGGUGGCCCUGUGUGGCCUCUAGUUACACCUUGCAGCUUGCAAACAUGUUCACUCAACAUAGCUUUCAGAGUGGAGUCUGCCUUUUUUAUCCCCUGCCACGAAAUGCACGAUCUUCUUUGACAGAAGUGGGACCAAUUUCUAUUUUACCAGCUAUGGAAGAAGCAGAAUGUGGAAACCUGACUUAACUGUUACCAUGUUUCCAAUUUAUUCCAGGGAGUUGUAGCAUUUCUUAUAAACUUGCAUCCCAGGUGGCUGCCCAACUAGCGUAUGAUUUAAUAUGGCUCUUUUUUUUUUUUUAAGUUGGGAAAAUGCUUAGGAGAUGUGCCAAGAUCUCAGUUAUGGCCUAUGUGCAGUGUGUUUAUUCAUUUGUUCAGCAAACACUGGGUAUCAUUCCAGCCUGGAUUACCAUUGGGUCUUGGGGUUGCAGGCUAUAGCAGAAUACUCUGGGGGCACUUGUGCUUGGGGGUGCAGGGCUCAUAAUUUGGGGGGAGAUCAGCUCAUUUGUUGCAGAGAUGCUGGUACAGCAGGGUCCAGUUCCCUGGACGUGCUAAGGAGGGCAUCAGGGUCCAGUCCUAAAGGGCUUCAGGAAUAUGCUCCGUCUGGGCAGACCCAGGAGGAUAAAGAGGGAAAGCCCUUGGUGCUGGAAGCCAGUCCAAAAACUCCAAGUUGCCGGCAGGGAGAACUGCUCUUGGAUCCUAAGUCUUCUGCCGUGGGGCCAUCCCUUCAUGGGUACAGAGACAGCAGCUGGCCAGGGCCUUAUGCCUAUAAUUAGGUGGGGACUGGAGAAGCUGCUGAGAGUGGAAAGAGCACUGAACUUGGCUCCAUUUGGGACCGUGUGGGUGGCCCCGCUUGCUUCCAGCUGUGGAGCUUGAGUCAUCAAGUUCUUUGGACAUGUGGCAGAGCCCGGAGCCACCUCGGUCCUGGCAUCUGACCCUGCCAUCCUCAUCUUCUCUGGAGCUUAAUGAUUCCGUUGUCUGCAGUCACUGAGGAAGGCUGUGGAAGGCCGGGGAGAAGACCCCAUGAUGUAAUUGUCACGGUGCUCACACGGUCCGCGUGGGAGAGUGAUGAGAAUCACUCACCUGUGCCUCGUUUUACGGUUUACGAAGGAGAGACUCGGGGCUGCGUCAGCUACCAGUGGGCACCUGUGUCCCAACCACUCAGCCCCUCUUAGCCUUAGUCUCCUCAUUUAUGAUACAGGGAUGAUAAAAGUUACUGCCUUGCCCAUUUAAUGGGUUUUUCCUUCAAGAGAGUAAAGGAAGGGGCGGGAAGCAGAAUGGGACACACUAGAAAGUGGGGCUGGGACAGGCCUGGAGGAAAGGCCAAGAAUAAAAUGUUCGACUUGAGUAGCAGGUGAGAUGGCCACUUAAAAUUUCACAGUGUCUCUGGCAAAUCGUAUAGUAAUUAUGUUUUCCCUGAUUACAUAAGGAACACAUGCUUAGAGUAAAAAAUUUAGGAAAAAAUAUUAAGCAUAGAGACAUGUUAAAAUAAACCCUAGUCUUUUUCACUGUUAAUAUUUGGAUAUGUUUUCUUUUCUUGCGUCGUUCAUAUACCUACUAUUUUAACCGACUGAGCCACCCAGGCACCCCUCAUAUAUCUACUAUUUUAAUAAAAUUAGAAUCAUGCUAUAGAUUCAUUAAUGAGACCCAGGCUCUUUAAAUGUAAUUUCCACAUAUAUAUGUUUUUAGCUUUGUUUUUACAAAACUGGAAUCAUACUGUUUAUCAGUGAGGGGUCUCCAGAGAAACAGAACCAAUUGGGGAUAUAUAUAUGUAUACGUAUUUAUACCCAUACACUUAUAUGCUCAUAUACAUAUGCAUAUACAUAUCAAGAGGUACAGAUACACACAUGCACAAACACAUGUAUAAGGAGAUAUAUUUUAAGGGGUUGGUUCACAUGAGUCUAAAGGCUGGCAUGCCUGAAAUCUGAGGCAGCAACUUGGGAACUCGAGUGGAAGUUAAGGCUGCAGUCUUGAGGCCAAAUUCUAUUGUCUUAGGGAAAUCUCAGUUUUCACUUGUAAGGCCUGCAGCUGAUUAGAUGAGGCCCACCUACACUGCAGAGUGUACUUUCCUUUACUCAAAGUCAGCCAGUUGUAGAUGUUGACUACAUGUACAGAACACCUUCACAGCAGCAUCUGGUGUUGGAUUCAAUAACUGGGUACUAUAAGCUAGCCCCGUUGAUACAUAAAACUGACCAUCACAUACCACAUACCCCAAUUGUAUUUUGAUUGUUUUACUUUGCAUGUCGUGAAUAUUUUUCCAUAGCAUGAAACAUUUUAUAAGAACUUGAUACUUACUGGUUUUUUCACCCAAUGACUUGACCAUGAUUUAUUUAGGAACUUCCAGUUGUCAAAUAUUUAGGUUUUAUCAAGUUUUCCUAUAGCUUUAACAUCAUGAUAGACAUCUUUGGGUGCAUUUUCUUUUCUUCUCUUUUUCAAGAUUUAUUUUUUUACGGUGGGGAGGGGCAGAGGGAGAGGGAGAGAGAAAAUCUCAAGCAGACUCUCUGCUGAGCGCAGAGCCCGAUGCGGGGCUGGAUCCCACAACCCUGAGAUCAUGACCUGAGCUGAAACCAAGAGUCGGAUGCUCAACCAACCAAGUCACCCAGGUGCCACAGUGCAUUUUCUUUUUACAUAUUCCUUAUUAGUUCCUAGAAUAUAUCAUUGAUGGGGAAUUAGUGGGUCAAAGGUUAUGGAGAUUUUAAGGCUUUUGAUAUACAUUGCUAAGUUUUCUCUAGGACCAUGCUUUUCAGGCUGGAAUCCCUGCACUGGCAUAGCUGGGUCGCUCCUGAGAAAGGCAGAUUCUUGGGCCUUUCCCUAGACCUACUGAAUCAGAAUCUGGAUUUUAGGUAGAUCCCCAUGUGACUUGUAUGCACCCCACAGUUUGAGAGGCACUGCCCAAGAAAAUCUCUACCAUGCUAGGGUCUGAAUGUUGGUGUCCUCCAAAAAUACAUCUGUUGAACCCCUAAUGUCUGAUGCAAUGUUAUUAGUAGGUGGGAACUUAGGGAGGUGCUUAUGUCAUGAGGGUGGAUGAAUGGGAUUAGUCCCUCAUAAGAGGCUCCAGAAAGAUCCCUCGCCGCUUCCGUCGUGUGAGGACAUAGGGAGAAGGGAAGAGCUAUGAACCAGGAAGAAGGCCCUCACCAGUGAACUUGACCUUGCUGGUGCCUUGAUCUUGGACUUCCAGCCUCUAGAACUGUGACCUAUAAACUUCUGUUGCUUCUAAGCCACCCAGUCUUGGGUAUGUUGUUAUAGGAGCCUGAAUGGACUGAAAUAUACCAGAAGUAUAUAGAGACUUGUUUUACUUCACUCUCAUCAAAACUGGGCAUUGUGUUUUUCUCUUUGUUAAUUUGCUACCCCCAAAUGAUAUUCUGUUGUUGUUUUGAUUUUUGUAACAAAUUGAUUGAAGAGGCGGGCUACUAGAGGCAUUCAACCAGGAAAAACUUUUUUUUUUUUAUUUGAGAGAGAACGAGAGACAGAGAGCAUGAGAGAGGGAGGAGGGUCAGAGGGAGAAGCAGGCUCCCCGCCGAGCAGGGAGCCCGAUGCGGGACUCGAUCCCGGGACUCCAGGAUCAUGACCUGAGCCGAAGGCAGUCGCUUAACCAACUGAGCCACCCAGGCGCCCAAGGAAAAACUUUUUAUUUUGCAAGCACAGCCUUAAAAUAUGCCCUGUGGUAUCUUAGGUGGAUUGCAUGACUUUCCAGUCUCUUCCAGCUAGCAGGGCAGUCUCAUUUAGGUCAUUAUGUAGGUGUGGCGGUCUAGUCCGGUCUGAAAUCAACACUGCAGUUUCCCGUCCAACUCCGUGCUCCGCCCCCGCCGCGUGCUUGGCUUCCCCCGACCCAGGCACCCGUGGUGGGGCCCGGGGGAGUGGCCGGUGGGCCUGGCGGGGCCUUUCACAUGUGCGGCGCCACCUCCUCCUGUUGCUACUCUCCGUGGCAGGGGUGCGGAGGACUAUGUUGAGAAGGGACAAGAGUCUUCCAGUAUUCGUGCUAUCAUAAUACUCUCCCGAUUACUGCUGGCUUGCUGGCUCAUGGCUGAUGCCCCGUGUUGGCUUCUUCAGAGGCCCCCGUAAGGAAUUUUUAAAGAGCUCUUCAGUGUGGUUAGCUGGGUUGGGAUUUCAGCCUCCGGAGCCCACGAUGCGGUGGCCUGCCCUGACAUGUGUUAAAAUAAUGGCGCUCAGGACAACUAUUGCUGUCACCCACAGAGAAACCUGAUGACAUCUGUUUGGACUCCCCACAAAUGACAGCAAAGUGAACCAAAAAUUCUGAUGUUUCAAAUGUAUGCAGCUGAUUAGACUAUGGAAGGAUCAGCUCCUGUGGAGGUUGGAACCAUCUUUUGUCUUUUUUUUUUAAGGCUGAUUCCUGAGGCCUCAAUUGUGCAUUGGAUAUCUUCAGGAAAAAAUGGUGACUCCAUCAGGCAUUGCAGGUGGAAUGGACGCUAGGGGAAGGCUUUAGAAAUACGGACUGUUAGUCUUUGGAGUUGCAGAGCUUGUCUCCUCUAAGGGAUAUUCUUCAAGGUUUCAUUUAGAUCAUGCUUGGUGAAUCAAAAAUUCUUUCCAGUCAGCUUUUCUUUUCUUUUUUUUUUUCCUCGGCGGGAGAGAGAGGAAGAGUGGGAGGGGGCCAGCAGGGCAGGGGGAGAGGGAGAGAGAGAGAAUAUUAAGCAGGCUCCACGCCCAUUGUGGAGCCCCACUCAGGACUCGGUCUCACGACCCUGAGAUCAUGACCUGAGCCAAAAUCAAGAGUUGGACGCUUAAUGGGCCAAGCCACCCAGGCGCCCCUCCAGCCAGCUUUUCAAGUUGUCUUCUAAAAUCAGGAAACUAUAACUAUUCACUUCGCGGCUUGCUUCGGCUCCAGGUACAGGUCACCAUUCCCAGGGUUUUUUCUUCCCUCUUGGUUGCUUUCAUCCCCUCCCGGAUGUUCCCAGCUGCCCAAAUGAUCCACAGCACGACGUCCUCACAGCCUGGAGUGUUGGCUUCUGCCUGUGUCAUCCUCACUCAGGGUAUGCACCUCUUAGUCCCCUUGAAGGCCCUUAGCAUGAGGGCAGUGCUAAAUCCAAGGGAGCAGAGCCCCAGCAGAAGGCUUUGCGGUGUGGAGUGCUGGUGGUUGGAGGCCUUUCGGCACCCGAGCCACCUCGUAGAGAACAGGUCUUCCUGCUGUCCAGUCCAGCUACCUUCCACUGCUAAAAUAAAUCUGCCUAAAAUAUGGGCUUCUAUCCUGCUCCAGAAUCUGCCAGGACUCCCCAUCCUUCUAAAAGAUAAAGUAUAAAUUCCUCAGUCCAGCUUUUAAGACCUCCAGUGUCUGAAUUAUUUUCCUUUGCUUCCUCAUGUGCACCUGCUGCUGAUUGUCUUCACACACGUCGGGCCAAUAUGAAGGUCUGUGCCUUUGCUCAUGCACGCCUCUCUACCUCCCACCCCCCACUCGCCCAGCGCUGCUAGUUAAACCCAGCUGCUGUGGCCCCCACUGUGCCAUCCCAUGUCUGGCCCUGCAGCCCUUCCUGUCAUAGCAGUGAACCCUGGCUCGUAUGCCUUCUGGUAUGUCUGAUUGUUUCAUGUUUUGGAUUGGCUUCCUUGACUUGAUUAGGAAUUUCUGGUUUGCAGUGACCAUGUCUCUCCUUGUCUCAGUGCCUUCCUGGCCAAACACACAGACCAUACUCGGUUAUGCCCCUUGAUUGAUUGGGAUAUGGCAGCCUGGUCAGCUGGCCUGUGGUGCCGUUUCACUGAGUAGGGGACUGCUUGAGAGCUGGUCCCGGGCUUUCCAGCCCUGCACAUCCCCCUAAGCUGUGGGUUUCUGAUGGGAAGCUUGGGGGGUGGUUCCUUGAGAAGCUAGGUGUAGAACAUGGCCUGCCUUGGAAUCCUAGCUGAUGAGCUCUGGAAACUUCAUUUCCUCAUCUACGUAGUUCAGAUCUGUUCACUUAAUAAAUAUGUAUUGAGUGCCUACUAUGUGCCAAGAGCUAUUUUAGGAGUUGAGAGUAUAGCACUGAGUAGGAUAGAGAUCUGAACAAUGCGAGAGGGCCAGCAAUGUGACAAUCUUGGGAGUAAACGUUGAGGAAGGAGGGCUCAGUAGGUACAACUGCAGAAGUUCAAGGAACUAGCAGGAGGCCCACAAUGGCUGAAACAUGGAGGUCGAGGGGAGGCUGGCAGGAGAUGGGGCUGGGAGUUGGGCCCAGGCUGGAUUCCCCAGGGCCUCACAGGGCCAUCAGAAAAUGCUGUGCGUUCUCCCCAAAGACUUAUGGGGAGCCAAUAGAGGAUUAUAGCAGGUGAGCAACACAAUCUGGUUUUAAUUAACAGAGCCUGCUUCAUUGAACAUAAACUACAAUUGAAUGAGAUAGUGCACGUAAGGUGCCUAGUGGUGUGCCUGGUACACAGUAAGUGCUUGAUAAGUAGUAAUUAUUAUUUUCCUAUUGUGGAGAAAAAUGGUUACCUCCUAUAGUUUGACCUUAAAAGAUGAAGUUUGUGAUAGGCUGACGAAUGGCGCGCCCAGGACGUCCAUGUCCUAGUCUCCGGAACCUGUACGUACAUUAGCUUGCAUGGCAAGGGAGAAUUGGGGUUGCAGGUGAGAUUAAGAUUGCUAACCAGCUGACCUUAAAAUAGGGAGAGCAUCCUGGAUUAUCCAGGUGGGUCCAGUGUAAUCGCAUGGGUCCUUAAAAGUGAAAGAGGGAGGCAGAAGAGAGUCCGAGGGAGACAUGACCAUGGAAGGUCAGAGAGAUGCACCAUUACUGCCUUCGAAGAUGGUGUAGGGGCCAAGAACCAGAAAUGCUGGAGGUCACUGGAAGCUGGAAGAGGUGAGGCAAUGGAUUCUCGCCGAAAGCCUCCCGAAGGGAAUGCAGCCCUGCCAACAUCUUGAUUUUAGCCCAGUGAGACCCAUUUCGAUUUCUGACUGCCGGACUUGUAAGAUAAGAAAUCUGUGUUGCUUUUAGCCACGAAAUAUGUGGUGAUUUGGUACAGCAGCAAUAGGAAACGGAUACAAGGAUUUUACACCAGGUACUCUAACCUCCAGGUUAGUACGCUCCAAUAUGACCUAUGACCCGUGAAUUUUUAUUUUUUUAUUUUUUUUUAAGAUUUUAUUUAUUUAUUGACAGAGAGAGACAGCGAGAGAGGGAACACAAGCAGGGGGAGUGGGAGAGGGAGAAGCAGGCUUCCCGCCGAACAGGGAGCCUGAUGUGGGUCUCGAUCCCAGGACCCUGAGAUCAUGACCUGAGCCGAAGGCAGACGCUUAGCGACUGAGCCACCCAGGUGCCCUGACCCAUGAAUUUUUAAAUCACGGUUUCAUUCACUGUCUAUUGCUUGGCAUCUGUGCUUUGGGGGAGUUGACCAGCUAGGAGACUUGGUGUUUUCUGUAACCUCUAGGGGUACCAAAUUCCAUAUGUGCCUCUAGGUGGCACGUUACAACCUUCAAGCACACUGGCAAAGCGAGUCCUGCUUUUCAUGGAUCUAGAAGGGCAAGGGGAGCUACAGAGCUCAAGGUAAGAGAUUGGGCUCUCAGCUCCAGUACCCUCAGGCUAGGGGACCCAGGAACAAGGACCUGCAAGGAGGCUGGGGUUGCCUUGCACUGCCCCCCCCCCCCAAGUCCCUCCAUCUGCCUUUUCCCAGUCUUCAGGGCCCAGUCCCCAGGCCGCCUCCUCCAUGAAGCACCCCAGCCCACCAGCCCACAGGAAGUAGUCACUCUGAGACUUGGCCCCUCCCCUGGCAUGGGCUCUGGGCCCCGCCCGCUCCGGUACUCAAGCUGUGCUUAUUUUCCCUUUACUAACCAUCAGGUGCUGUCAGAGAGAAGUUGAGAGUAUAGCACUGAGUAGGAUAGAGAUCUGAACAAUGUGAGAGGGCCAGCAAUGUGAAGAUCUUGGGGGUGAAUGUUGCAGAAGGAGGGGUCAGUAAGUACAACCGCAGAAGUUCAAGGAACUAGAAGGAGGCCCACGAUGGGAGAAGUUGAGAGAGAGAGAGAGAGAGAGCCCGGAGGCAGGCCCCAGGCCAGGCAUACAUUUAGGGGCUUAGCAGUGCCUGCAGGUUGAUUGGUUGGGGCUGGAUACAAAGGGUUCAUAGGCAAGGGCUUUUUACUUUAUCCUUUUAGGGAAAUUCAUUCUCUCCAGUUGGUUCUCCUCUUCCUUUUGGAGACAUUGUUAGAAAAAUCACAGCCACAGAGGCUCAGUGCCUGCACCAACCCUUCCUUCACACUGCGGCUGCCAGAACAUUCGCUCCAAACCCUACCUCUGACCUAGUCCCUCCUCCUACCCACCCCAUCUAUAGCUGUGGUUUCGAAUGUUUAAAUAAGAGCAAUCAUAAUAUUUAGCAAAAUCACUAGAGAAUCUUCUUGGUCAGUGAAAUAACAGCCUAUAAAACUGAAAGGCAGGAUGCAUAUGAAGUGUGUGGACUCUGGCCUCAGACAGACUAGGUUCAAAUCCAGGCUCUACCACUUAGUUGUCUGAGCACGCUGUGCCUCAGUUUCCUCUUCCGUAAAAUGGGGACGCUGAUAGUACCUAGCUCAUGGGCUUGUUGCAGAAAUCCUAUGUCACAAGGUACGAACACAGAAUUUUUUUUAAAUUACAUUUUAUUUUUUCAAAUAGUUUUAGAUUUACAGAGAAAUUGUGAGGAUAGUGCAGAGUUCCCCUAUGCCCUGCACCUGUUUUCCCCUACUGUUGACAUCUUACAUUAGGGUGCACAUUUGUUACAAGUAGUGAACCAAUAUUGAUACGUAACCCUUAACUAAGGUCCGUACUUCUUCAGAUUUUUUUGUGUGUUUACCUAAUGAUGCGCUUUUCUGUUCCAGGAUUCUAUCCAGGAUAGCGUGUUACAUUUAAUUGUCCCACCUCCUUAGGUUCCUCUUGACAAGUUCUCAGACUUCCCUUGUUGUUGAUGAUCUUGUCCGUUUUCGGGGGUCCCGGUGUUUCAUAGGGAUUCUGCAAGAUGUCCCUCUAUUGGAAUUUGAUGUUUUUCUCCUGCUUAGAUGGAUUGAGCACAGACAUUUGAAGUCAGUGGGUCAUGGAUGGCUACUGUACUGUUCUGUUAGCCUCAGCAUCCAUGAAAUUAAAGUCAAAUGUCUGUGGGAAGCCUCAAGCACAGGUUGGAAAAUCACAAUGGGGAAGAUGAAGUCCACGCGCCUGGGUGUGGCCUUCCAGGCCCUCUGUCCUCCCCGCCCACUUCCCCAGUCUCCUCCCCCUGCUUCUCCACAUCCUCCGAAGAGGUCUAGACUUUGAGUCAUGUUCCUUCUUCUACCUGGAAUGCCUUCCCUCUUUUCUCUGCCCCAGUAAUUCCUGGUCUCUAAGAAAAGACUCUAAGGUCCAGUUAAACAUGUACCUCCUCCCUGAUGCCUCUCCCGCUUUCCCUAAGACAAGUAGCACCGUUGCCGGGGUCUCCACAGAAGUUGGCACAUCUCUUCUUAGAGUGUCCUUCUUGGGUCACAUCUCUGCCUCUUCCUCCAGACUGGAAGCUUCUUGAGAGCGGCAACUGGACCAUAAUCCUUUUUCCUCAUGCCCAUGGUGGGGCCUGGCACACAGUAGGUGCUCAAGAGAUGCUUAACCAACGACAGGCAUUGUAGAGAGGUGCUGUAUCUGUAACUGCCUUGAUGCAGAUCAUGUUGCUUUUGUCCUCAAAAUGUGAGCUACCCCAGUGGGUGACGGAUGCCAGUGGUGAGCCCUUGGGUGGAAAGGCGCUUUCUCCGGGCCCCAAAGGGGUGUGAGAACGCAGUGUGAACAUGGAAAGGGCCAGCAGGGGGCUCUGGGAAGUAGUUCAUAAGCCCUGCCCGAGAGGAAGGCUCAGGAGUGGCUUCUGCAGCAAGCCUUGGGUCCGACAGGAUCCACAAAGAAAGUGUGUCAAAAGAGAGGUCUGUUUUGCUACUGACGUGCCAGGCUCUGUACCAAGGACAGGAUGUACCAGCCUGUUCUGAAAACAUGUGUGGGCCCCGGUCGAGCUCUUUCUCCCAGAGGUCUCUGCCUGCAGAAAUUGGGACAAAAGAUACUGAUAGCUAAGAAAUAAUGUUUGCAGAAGCAAAUGAUCUUGUUAUAGCCAAGAGCAGACCUGCACUUCAUUCACAUUUCCCAAUUUCUGCUUCCACUUCAGCGUUAAUUUUUCUCCUUGGAUCAGAAACUCUUAAUGGCCAUUCCUAAAAGCCAAGAUUAUCACUGAGACGUUGGAGCUAAAAUUUCCAGGCUUUUUUUGAAUUCUGUGAGGAGGGGGAAAGAAAAAUAGCUGAGUUAAUUUGAGAUAAUGAAGCUUGAAUUAGAAAUUGCUCUCUGGGGUCAAUAACAUCUAUUAUGUUGUUCUUGUGGCUGAUACUAUUAACAGUAGUAGUAGUAACAAUAGGUCUCGUGUACUGAGUGCCUACUCCAUGCCAACGUUGGGAUGGAGACCUCUGCCCAUGCCAGGCAUUGGCCUUGGGGCAUCCAAGGGAAUUAGACCGGCAUCAUCCCUGCCCAUUCUGCCACAGAGAUAUUAGCUCCACUUCAUAGACAAAAACUGAGGCUCGGCACAUUGAUUUGUUAAGGCUUCAAGACCGGACCCCUUCUCAAUCCCCUAAACACACCCCAAAAGGAUCUAAAAUGUUUGUUAAUCUUAACACAUGAUGAGAGGAAGGGAAGGGAUAAUCACACAAGGCAGAAAUGUAUAGACAUUACAAGUAAAUCCAUCAUUAAUGAUAAAAAGAAUGAUGUCUUACUGUUCUGGGGCCAUGAACUUCCUAGCCUUCAGGAUAGAUGAAUGAGAAUACAGGGGAAUACUGUUAGAAUGUAACACUGUCUAUACUCAAAGGACUUUUAUACUUUAACAAAAAAGUUUAAAAAGCAAAGUUAUGAUGGAUCCUCUAAACUCACACUUUAAGUUUUUAUUUUCAUCACCUGGUGCUCAUCAAGGACAAGUGCCCUCCUUAAUCCCCAUCACCUGUUUUGCCCCCCCCCCCCCCAACCUCCCCUCUGGUCACCAUCCAUUUGUUCUCUAUAGUUGAGUCUGUUUCUUGGUUUGUCUCUCUCUCUUUCCCCUCUUUUGCUCAUUUGUUUUGUUUCUUAAAUUCCACAUGAGUGAAAUCAUAUGGUAUUUGUCUUUCUCUGACUUACUUCGCUUAGCAUAAUACUAUCUAGAUCCAACCAUGUCAUUGCAAAUGGCAAGAUUUCAUUCUUUUUUAUGGCUGAAUAAUAUUCCUCUGUGUGUGUGUGCGCGUGCGCACACCACCUCUCCUUUAUCUAUUUGUCAGUCAAUGGAUACUUGCCCUGCUUCCAUAUCCUGGCUAUUGUAAACGAUGCUGCCAUAAACAUUAGGGUACAAAAAAAUAAACACUGGGGUGCAUGUUUCCCUUUGAAUUAGCCUUUUCAUAUUCUUUGGGUAAAUAUCUAGUGAUGUGAUUGCUGCAUCAUAGGACAGUUCUAUUUUUAAUUUUUUGAGGAGCCUCCAUACUGUUUUCCAGAGUGGCUGCACCAGUUUGCCUUCCCACCAACAGCACAUGAAGGUUCUUAUUUCUCCGCAUCCUUGCCAACACUUCUUGUUUCCUGUGUUUUUGAUUUUAGCUACUCUGACAGGUGUGAGGUGAUAUCUCAUUGUGGUUUGGAUUUGCAUUUCCCUGAUGAUGAGUGAUGUUGAGCAUCUUUUCAUGUGUCUGUUGGCCAUCUGCCUGUCUUCUUUGGAGAAAUGUAUGUUCAUGGCUUCUGCCCAUUUUUUAAUUGGAUUAUUUGUUUUUGGGGUCUUGAGUUAUAUCCGUUCUUUAUAUAUUUUGGAUACUAACCCUUUAGCAGAUAUGUCAUUUGCAAAUAUCUUCUCCCGUUCAGUAGCCUGCCUUUUAGUUUUGUGGAUUGUUUCUUUUGCUGUUCAGAAGCUUUUGAUUUUGAUGUAGUCCUGAUUAUUUUUGCUUUUGUUUCUCUUGCCUUAGGAGACGCAUCUAGAAAAGUGUUGCUACAGCCCAUGUCAGAGACGUUACUGCCUGUGCUCUGUUCUAGGAUUUUUACGUUCAGGUCUCCUAUUUAGGUCUUUCAUCCAUUUUUGAGUUUAUGUUUGUGUAAGAAAGUGUCUUGUUUCAUUCUUUUGCAUGUCACUGUCCAGUUUUCCCAACACCAUUUGUUGAACAGACUGUCGUCUUUUUUCCAUUUAAACAAUGGAAAUACAAAUUUCCUGCUUUGUUGAAGAUCAGUUGGCCAUAUAUUUGUGGGUUUGUUUCUGGAUUUUCUAUUCUGUUCCAUUGAUCUAUGUGCCUGUUUUUGUGCCAGUACCAUACUGUUUUGAUUACUAUAGCUUUGUAGUAUAACUUGAAGUCUGAAAUUGUGAUAACCUCGUUUCUUUUUUCUCUUUCAAGAUUGCUUUGACUAUUCAGGGUCUUCUGUGGCUCCAUACACAUUUUAGGAUGGUUUGUUCUAGUUCUGUGAAAAUGCUGUUGCUAUUUUUUUUUAUUUAUUUUUAUUCUUAUGUUAAUCCCCAUACAUUACAUCAUUAGUUUUAGAUAAAGUGUUCCAUGAUUCAUUGUUUGUGCACAACACCCAGUGCUCCAUGCAGAGUGUGCCCUCCUCAAUACCCACCACCAAUGCUGUUGCUAUUUUAAUGUGGAUUGCAUUAAGUGUGUAGAUUGCUUUGGGUAGUACAGACAUUUUAACAAUAUUUGUUCUUCCAACCCAUGUAAACUCCCAUGUUUUAAGAGACAGACUCCACCUCCUCCUCAGGGUUUUGACCCAGCUGCACGUGAUCCUCCCUCAGCUCUCCUCUGUUUGGGCCCCUCAAUUAUGAUUAUGCUCCCACGAGGUGCCUAUCAGGUGGCUCCCUGUCCCGAAGGUUCUUCCAUCAUUUCUAAGGAUGAGAAUCCUAAAUGGUAAAGUCCAGAACCAAACUUAGAGAACACUUGAGCCCCCAGCUGAAAGACAUUAAUCGUCCACGGACAGCUUUCUUAAACAAAAGAGAAUUUGUAACCGGAGAGCAAAGCAAUUUCUGCUCAGAGCCGUGACUAAAUGAGGAUGUGCAAAAACCAUUUGGACUUUUGUCCCACAUGAUAGCCUCAGUCCCAGUAUAGGCACUGUGGUUCCCAGGACCGGGUGUGCACCAUGCCCUUGGCUGGGCCCCAUGGGGUCUGCGGGCCACUUGGCAGCCCUGCCUGGCACACCCUCAGCCAAGUUCACUUCCCUGAGCGCAAGACUCGCCCGUGCCAGCACGGAGCUAUUAAUUAUUUUUCUUUGUCAAACCUUUGUCAGCAACUUCAUCCCAAAAGUAGUGGUUUAUUUUCCCUUUGGCAGUGUUUGCGACUCUAGUAAAUAAGAGAUAAUUAUACUCCAGUUUUAAAAUUAAAACAGAAAAGCUAGAGAUGCAAGUGAAGAAUUAUUUACAUUUUACAGCAGCCUACUUCCCUGGUCAGAGAUUCAACAGAGUCAGUUUGCUGUGUUUUAUGAGGACUCCGAGGGGUUUGAGUGGUUUACGUGUUAAAUUUUUAUCUUAAGAGGCCUGAAACUCCUGAUCUUUUGCUUCGAGGUAACCUUCAGCACCAUUCUAAAUUCUGUUGUGUUUUAGUCCCUCUGAAGGAAUUUAAGGUUCUAAAACUGCGAUUAAAAUGUGGGAGCUGAAGGAAUCGCAAGAUGAAACGAGAGCACAGGGCAGCAUUUGGAGCUGGUUUGGUUGCAUGGUGACCUUCCUGUGUGCAUAAUGCUCCGAUUUGGCAGCUGGGGAGAAAGCCGGACUUGUCUUGUGGCUGCAGAGAGUUUCCUUUUCUUUUUUUCUUUUUUUUGGUCGCCUAGUUUGUGCUUGGAAAGUGAAAAUAGAUUCAAACGCGUCCUGCCAAACAUUUGAUCUUGUUGUCAUAGGAAGUGAAAGGAAUUGUGAGAAGGAAUUUUAAAAAUGGAAUUGGAUUUCUAAUUUUGUUUGGCCAGUGGCCCCAUGUGCGGGGCGGAGAGGUGCUGGGGGCGGGGGGGUUAGCCUCCCGGAGGGACGUUGAGGAGCCUCUCUCCACUGGGCCUCCAGCUCUGCUAUGUGAAGGCUUUGGGAGGAGAAGAUACCUUCCGCUUACAUCAGAGGAACGAAUACUCAGAUUCAAGGGCCGUGUUCUUUUCAGAGCCUAAGACUGGGCCCAGGAGCCUGCCUGGACACUGGCAGGCUGGCCUCGCUCCCUGCUUUUUGCCUGCCUCCCCACUGAUGGGGUGAAGUGUGGAGGGCCGGAGGGCAGUGCCGAGGACCUCACCACUUGGGGGGGGAUUUACUUCUGACAAGUGAGCUGUUGGCUGCUCUGAUAUGGGUGGGCAUGGGAGCCCUGGAAAUCUCUGAAUACUCCCAACAGGCCCCUGGGGCCCCUGGAGCAGAGACGGAAUGAGAAACUGGAAACCAGGUUUCCAACACAGUGGAGUGGGCAGAGUCAAGUUUUGUGUGCUAUAGGCUCAGCUUUCUCCUAGGCCUUGGCUUCGGUGAAUCAUAGGAGAAAGCCUUAUUUUGACAAGGCAGCCUUUAAGACAUACCAACCCCUUUGACGAUUAAGUGGUCUUGCCUUCCCCAUCCCCACCCCCCCCCCCCACCCCAGAUGUGCUCUGCUAACCUGGCAGCGCUCCCUGAUGUCAUCAAUACUGAAAUUUAUUUGGAGGGAUGAGGAGAGUUUUAGCCGAUGGGAAGCAACAGCCAGUGUUGACUCCCAAGGGGGAUCAGCCUUUACAUCAUCUGAACCGAAGACGUUUUCUGGAGUGCAGUGUAUAUUAUCACAGAUCUUAAUUUCAGGCAUAGAUGUUAGAAUAAUUUCAUUGUGAAAUAUGGUGCUAGUAAAAUUCAGCAUUAGCAUGAGCAGUCAAUAAUUCAAACUUUUAUUUGCUCUCAUGUCGAAGGGAUAUCUUUCUGCUCCCGUUCAGCCAGGGGGCAAAAAAGAGUGAGAAAUCUAGCAUUUUGCUGAUAAUAGUACUUCUUGGCGCCCCCCCCAAUUAAUUUUUUUUCUUAAAGAAGAAGCGUCUGAUUUAUUAGGUCUCUGAAAUCCACGAGAGUCCUGCAGAGCUUCCUGGAUCUUUGCGGAGAGGCUCUUGGCCUCUGCUGUUGGCGCUAUUCUAGGCAUGCCUUAUUAGGGGCAGAAAGUUUGGGAACUUAGGAGAACUGUUUAUAACGUCCAUUUGUUUCCCCUGUCAACAUCUUAAUGCCACGCCGAACGGGCUGCUUUGGCACGGUGGUCUGAAGUGGAAUGACUGAGGGGGGGAUUUUUCCCCUUGGCGAAACUGAUCCACUAGCCUGUGUGCCUAGCUUUAGAAGGAUUUUCAUCUGUAGAAUAAAUUCGGCCCUUAUGAACAUAAAUGGCUCUGCCACCCUUCGGCAGGCAGAUGGAGCAUGUGCUUCACAUUAUUGAUUCAAGGCAGCAUUAGGGCUGGUGGAAGCAACUUUUUUUUUUUUUAAAGAUUUAUUUAUUUAUUUGAGAGAGCGAGAAAGAGAGAGAGAGAGAGUACAUGAGAGGGGGGAGGGUUAGAGGGAGAAGCAGACCCCCCGCCGAGGAGGGAGCCCGAUGCGGGACUCGAUCCCGGGACUCCAGGAUCAUGACCUGAGCCGAAGGCAGUCGCCCAACCAACUGAGCCACCCAGGCGCCCCAUGGUGGAAGCAACUUUUAAGAAAGCAGGGUCUGCACAGCCCCAUCUUGCUUCCAGGUCCAAGGCAGUCUUAAAAUUGUCCGGGGUUUGGGAGCAGCGCCUUCUGAUGGGAAUGCUGUGUGACACGAACCUUGCCAAAAACGAAUGGAUCAUUUACAGGAAAUAAGAAGUUAAAGAGGAGGAUGAGUCAGUAGACUUCAAAGCUCGCUCGUUUCCACAGAACUUAAAUAAUGAAUAACAAAAACUGAGGAUUUCACAGACAGUUUACACAGCUCUCGGUGCAGCUGGGACCUUCACCCCGGCUCCAGUGCUGUCUGCUUCCAGGAGGUUCCCUACUGCCUCAGGAAGGAAAAGAAGAUAAGGAGGAAGGAAGGACAGAAAGGGAGAGAGAGAAGGGAGGGAAUGGAAAUGAAAGAAGGGAAGUGAUCUUGAAAGGGAGAAGAACGAUGGACGGAUGGACGGAUGGACGGAUGGAUGGAUAGAUGGACGGACGGAUAGAUGAUUGGAUGGAUGGGAAAAGAAAGGGAGGGAGGGACUGAAGGAAGGAAGAAGGAGAAGGGAAGGAGAAAGGGGGGCAGAGGAGGAGGGCCGAUCAGACGGUGGGUAGUUAAGUCUGAUUUUGCACAAAUACAUUUUGUGUGGCAAAUAUCCUGGUACAUCUGUCAUGUGGAUCUCUGUUUAGCUGAUUACUAAAGUCAGAUAGAAUUGUGUAUUUUUUUUUAAAUGCCACUGAGUCAUUUCUGAGCUCAUAGACAAGGAGUUUAAGGAGUUCUAUUUUGGAACUACUUAUAAUGGAGAACUGUAUUUGAGAAAACCAGGGGCUGGUUCAGAUUAUAAGCACAGUGCAAACGUCUGUCACUUUAAGGAAACUUGCAUAUCAAUGAAACAGACCGAUUAGGGAGAUUUAUGCAUAUUAUAAAAACCUUUUGAUUCAGCAAUUCCACUUUUAUGAGUUUAUUCUUAAGAAAUCAGUGGACAUCAUAUAUGAUUGGACACCAAUCCUAUGGUAUAGCCGGUAGUAAUAUACUUUAUAAUGUCAUUAAAAAUACAACGCAGUUGUAUAUUAUUGACAUGGAAUGAUUAUAUUAUAUAUAUAUUUGCAUUGAGCAAAAUCUGGGAAUGCAUACCUAAAAUGUUGACCGUGAGUAAGUCUGGAAGGUAGGGUUUGGAGUGAUUUUAAUUUUUCCGUCUGUGUUUCCUAAUUUAUUUUCUACAGUGAGUAUGUAUUACUUGCCUAAUAUAAAAAUAAUUGGGGGGGGCGCCUGGGUGGCUCAGUUGGUUAAGCGGCUGCCUUCGGCUCAGGUCAUGAUCCCAGGGUCCUGGGAUCGAGCCCCGCAUCGGGCUCCCUGCUCGGCGGGGAGCCUGCUUCUCCCUCUCCCUCUCCCUCUGCCUGCCGCUCUGCCUACUUGUUCUCUCUCUCUAUCUCUCUGUCAAAUAAAUAAAUAAAAUCUUUAAAAAAAUAUAUUAAUUGGUAGGUGAGGAGGAUUUUUCACUCUGAGAGAGAGGAUUUAUUUAAUAAGCUUUUUUUCCACAGAGAAGGGCCCAAGUUCAGUUUGUGUUUACCGAGCCCCUCCCAAUGCUGGAAGGGGAAAAAAAACUUUCCCAAAUGUCAAAAUCCUGUUUUGGGAUCUUUUUUGCCUUAAGGGCCCCCCGGCGCCUAGGCUUCCUUCUUGCUUAUAGCUUGACCUGAGUCUCCUCAGAAGGCCGGAGCCAGCAGAUACCCUUCUGACUUGGGGGCAUCUCUGGCGGGGUGGCACCCUCUCCUCAGGCUUCAACACCCCAGCGUUACCAGGUUCUGAUGGGAAGUGACCAUUGGCCACUCAGGGCAAGCUUGGGUGUUGCACAAGACUCAGAGUCGAGGUGGAGAGGAGAACACAUUUACUUGAAAGAAAACAAAACAAAACAAAAACAAAGUGCAAGUCAUUGUAAAGUUCCUGCUGGCACACUCCUGUGGGCCCUGAGGAAAAUCAGGAACUGAAUUCCUGCCCCACUGUCAGAAAUUCUCCAAGGAAGUCGGCAUGGGCCCAAUGAGAGGCCAAAGUGGAGCGCGGGCCACCUACCUGGGCUUUUGUUCAUGACGGAUGCUCCCAGUCUCUGGCUGGGUGGCUUGGGUUUGUUCCCUCAGUGUGGGCUUGGCGAGGCUGCCCUGGCAAACCCUGACCACAACAGGCCUCAGAGGUCUCCCCUCUGGAUCUUGUGCUUCCAUGUGUUUGGGGGCUGUGGUGACCUCUGGGACCAGCUUCCCACUUUGGUCUUGUUUUCUCUUUGUUAGGUCCAGCUGGUCUCAUCCCUGGGGGCAGGAUGGGUGUGGGAGGACGAUGAAAGACAGUUGGGAUUCUUCAGCUGGUGGGUUGUGGGCCUGGAGUAGAGCCGAGCUUCUCAGCCAUCCCUACCACAGCCUCCCCCAGCCCUAGUUCCUGGUUGGGACAUAACCUCUGGUUCUGACUUGAGCUGGAGCCGGCACGAUGAUUGCUUUUUCUCCGUAAGGCAAUUGUACUUCGUUGGGGCCUAACCGAAUCUUUAUCCUGCUACCCACUGCCUUUGGGACCCAGGCAGGUCCCUUCACCUCUCUGAGCCUCUGUUUCCUCACCUGUGACAUUUUAGCUUUCUUGGGGGUUGAAGACUAAAUGUGCUAACAGGAAAAUGCUUCCAGGAGCGCCUCGCAUGCUGUCAUCAUAAUAAUUAUUACUGCUGUGAUAACUGACAUUUAUUGAAGAAUGCUUUGUGCCGGGCACUCUUAUAAACACUUCGGGUGCAGUAAUUUACUUAAUCCUCACAAUGGCCUGUGAGGUAGGUACGAACAAAUCCCAUUUACAGGUAAGGACAUCGAACCACGGAGAGAAUGAAUAACUUGCCCAAAUUAGUAAGUGAAUUAGUGAAGUAACCAGGCUGUGACCAGGGAGGUUCUUUUGUUGUUGUUGUUUUAACUGUGGUAAAAUACACACAGCAUAAAAUUUACCAUCUUAACCGUGUUUAAUGGUACAGUUCGGUGGCGUCAAGCACGUUCACGUUGUUGUGCAACUCGUCUCCACAGCUCCUUUCAUCUUGCAAAACUGAAACUCUAUACUCAUUAGACAGCAAGUUCCCAUUAACCCUGCCACCCCCAGACCCUGGAAACCGCCAUCCUACUUUCUGUCCCUGUGAUUUUGAUGACUCUCAGUACCUUGUAUUUGUCUUUCUGUGACCGGCUUAUUUCACCCAGCAUAAUGUCCUCGAGGUGUAUCCAUGCUUGCUUCUUUUUUAAGGCUGAAUAAUAUUCCAUUACAUGCACAGACCACGUUUUUGUUUAUCCAUUUAUCUGCCAGUCAACAUAUGGGUUGCUCCCACAUUUUGGCUGUUGUAAUGCUGUUGUGAACAUAGGUGUAUCUGUUUGAGUCCCUGCUUUCAGUUCUUUGAGGUAUAAACCCAGAAGUGGAAUUGUUGGAUCAUAUGAUCAUUCUAUUUUUAAUUUUUUGAGGAACUGCCAUACUCUUUCCCACAGUGGCUGUAACAUUUUACUUUGCCACCAGCAAUGUGCAAGAGUUCCAGUUUCUCCAUGUCCUUAUCAGCACUGGUUUUCUGGUUUUUGGAGAGUAGCCAUUCCAGCGGGUGUGAGAUGGUAUCUUAUCAUGGCUUUGAUUUUCAUUUCCCUGAUAACUAGUAACUUCAGUAUCUUUUCAUGUGCUUAUUGGCCAUUUGGGUAUCUUCUCUGGAGAAAUAUCUAUUCAAAUCCUUUACCCUUUUUUUAGUCAGGUGGGGUGGUUUUUUUGUUAUUGUUGUUGAAUUAUGGUAGUUCUUUAUAUAUUCUGGAUACUAACCCCUUAUCAGAUAUACAGUUUGCAAAUAUUUUCUCCCAUUCCAUGGGUUGUCUUUUCACUCUUCUUGGUUGUGUCCUUUGAUGCACGGAAGUUUUAAAUUCUGACAUUGUCCAAUUUGUCUACUUUUGCUUCUGUUUCCUGUGCUUUUGGUGUCCUAUCCAACCAAGGGGUUCUUUUGGAGUGAUCUAUAGUUGAAGAAAGCUGGAAGAAGCAAAUUCUACUCAAUUUUUGUGGAAGUCCCCAAGAGGAAUUAAGGAUCCAAAGGUUUAUGGUUCUUGUUCCACGCUGUCAGAAAGCCUGCGGAAACCCUGGGGUCAUUUGCAGUGGUCCUAGCAGUGGCUAAGUACGCGUGUUCCCGUCAGCUCUGCCAAUGUUGCCUAAUCGUGGUCUCUUACAUUGUUUUCAAGUAGGUAUUCGGUUAUUUUAAUUCCUAUUUCUUUAGUAGUGAGACUGAACCCCUUCCCAGGUGCUGGUUUAUCCGGUAUGGUUCCCAGUGUGCAUGUGCAGAUAUAUAAAGUGUCUGGCAUAGGGCUGUGACUUACUGACAUUCCUUCUCUCUCUCUCUCUUUUUCCUCUGUCCCUUUGCUCUCGGUCAAGUGUGUUCUCAUUGCUGAUGGCAGUGUAUGUUUAUAUCACAAUGUAAGAUUUCAUUCCUACUUUUGGAUCUUAAAUAUUUACCCAUUGUCUGUGUCAUAACUUCGAACUUCCUUUUGCCCCUUUGUGUUUGUUACUUUUUAUUAAGGAGACUUUAAGUAGACUUUAAAAUAUAUAUAUAUUUUUAAGAUUUUAUUUAUUUGACAAAGAGAGACACAGUGAGAGAGGGAACACAGACAGGGGGAGUGGGAGAGGGAGAAGCAGGCUUCCCACGGAGCAAGAAGCCCGAUGCGGGGCUCGAUCCCAGGACCCUGGGAUCAUGACCUGAGCCGAAGGCAGACACUUAACGACUGAGCCACCCAGGCGCCCCUAGACUUUAAAAUAUUUGAAUUCACCUUUCUCUAGUCUUAGGAUACUAUUUUGUUUUUCAGUAGGCAUGGAUUUCUCUCUCUGCUACAGCCGACAUAAAUGCAUAAUUUUUUUUCAGUGCUCUCUGUGUUUAAUUAGUUCAUUGACCAAUUUGGAAAGUAUUAUCGUGUUUGGUGAGUUACGAAUACGAUCUACUUUUCUUCAUAGUGAUACCAGAUUGUUCCAUUAACAUUUAUUAAAGAGUGAUUCUUUCAUUCAUCACUGUGAUUCUUUGUUUUGUUUGCUGUAUCCCAAGGACUUAUCGGUGCUUAAAUCCAUCUCUGGAAUCACUGUUUGAUUAGUCUUUGUUCUGGCUUUGAUCCAGCAAAAUUCAGUCUUGAUGAAGAUCACUUUAUAAUAUAUCCUUAAAUUUAAUUAUUAUACCCUCCAACAAUCUUCUUUGGUAUUAUUAUGUAUUUAUUUUUCCUUAUUAAUUUUGCUAGUGAUUUAUUACAUUCUAGAACAUUCUGGCAGGACUUCAGUUGUUCUUAUGUUACUCUAUUUUUUUAUGGACUAAUGUUACUGAUAUUACUCUAAAUUUUCUAAGUGAGGAGGAGUGGAUAUAACUUUGUUUAGGUAUUCUUUUAUUUUUCCUACUAUGAUUUUUAUCAUUUUUACUUCACUAGAUAUCUUCUGCACCUAGAUACAUAAAUUCUCAAGUAUUUCCUUUGUUUCAGUAUUGGGCAUAGCACCAUUUUUCGUUGCCUUUUCUCGCUUUACAUCAAUGGUAUGCAUUUGGUUGAUCUUGCAUUUUCUAUUUGCUCUCUCGUAUCACCUGCAAAAACGUGAUAGUUCUAAUUCUGCCUUCCUAUAUUUAUUCUGCAGUUCUUUUCCAUCUUGUCUUGCAAUAUUGUUUAAUACUCGCUCCAGUGGGAGUGCUGAGAAGGGCAUCUUAGGCUUCUGCCUGUGUUUGCAGCCAUGGCUGCUCAUGGCCAUUUAAAUUUAAAUAAAUUAAAAGUUAAAUAAAGUAAAAAAUUCAGUUCCUCUGUCACAUUAGCCACAUCUGAGUGCGCAGUAGACACACAUGACUUGUUAUGACUGCAUGGGACAGCACAAAUAAAUACUCCAUCAUUGCAGAAAGUGUUAAGGCACAGCACUAAUCUACCAUUUCCACAUGAAGAAUAAUAGUGAGGGGUGCCUGGGUGGCACAGUCGGUUAAGUGUCCGACUCUUGGGUUUUGGUGCAGGUCGUGACCUCAGGGGCGUGCGAGGGAGCCCCCUGUCGGGCUCAGCACUUGGUGCAGAGUCUGCUGGAGGAUUCUCUUUCUCCCUCUCCCUCUGCCCCGUCUGCUUGUGCUCGCUCUCUCUCUCAAAUAAAUAAAUCUUUUUUUUUUUUUACAAAAGAAUAAUCUUGAAACUCAGAUUUAAAUCUGUGAUCUUUUUUUAUCUUAAGGUAUCCAUCUCCUCUUCCUAUUUUGAAGACUUCUUUUAAAUAAUUAACAUUGAAUGUUAAUGAUGGCCUUCUCAGCAUCCACCAAUAGAAUUCUUAGAUUUAAAAAUUGAUUUUUUUUUUUUUUUUUACAUGAAAGCAUUGAACUGUCCUAAUAAUUUCCCCCAUCUAGUGCUGGUUCUGUCUUUGUAAAAUAGCUUACGCUUGUUUAUUUUUUAAACAUUUCCCCUUUGUCUAUAGGAAAUUAUUUAUGGUUUAUUAAACUAUAUUCUUGUACAGGGUAGUCCUAGCAUUCUCUCUCGCUCAGUGUUGUCCUCAGGUGUUUUAGAUCAAGAUCUUAUUUACUCCCUAAUAUGACUUAUAUGAUAAACAAUCUUGUAUUCUGAAACCUUUUAUGUAACUGAUAUUUGAAAAUUUAUAGAUGUUCUCUGGAGAACCCAUUAGGGGCUUCUUUUAGAAAUGUAUGGAGGGGACAGAACUUUUUUAUUUUUUUAUUCAACAUAAUUAGUUCAGUAAGCACCGUCGAAUGUAAACCUCUCCUGUGAAACACAGGGCAAAAUGCUGUAUGGCAAGAUGAACAUAAUAUUGGCUAUUGAAAAGAAUGAGGCUUUCAUAGCCCCUUUCACAGGAUUCUUCAAGGCUCUCUCCUACCCCUCAGUGUCCCCCUGUUGUACUCCCCAGCUUGACCACCAGGUCAGUCCUCUCACAUACGCCCCAGCUCCAGUACAGUGACCACAUUCCGUCAUCCCAAGUAUGAGUUUCUCUUGCAGAGAAUGCCCUUUUCCCCCUCUCAUUCACCCUGAGGACCCACCCAAAGUUCCUGUCUUUGUGAUUUUCCAAGUGAUUUCUUUCUGCUCUCAUCUUAAUGUAUUCCUUGAGCAUGUCAUUCUUUUUGGCAAAUAACUAUUCACAGCCUUGUAUCAUCUAAUUAUCUUUUGUGUUAUUAUGUACCUCUCCUGUGUCUAAGGUCCCUGUAGGGAUAGGAGUGAAGGUAGAUUUCAGGUCUCUCAUUUCUUUUGUUCAGCAGACACGGGCCAGUAUAUAGCGCUAAGUAUGUGGCAGACAUUCAGAGAUACUUACUGAACAAGUGUCUUGAUAUAUUAGCGAUUCUUACUCUAUUACCAGGAAAACUAACAAAAUCUCUGGCCAUGGGCAGGAUUUAGAGCUUUUGUAAACUAGUAUAACCUAUUUGGAGAAACAGGCAAAAGAGUUUCCAUAAAGGACCAUACUCAUCUUCCCGAUUGAAUUCAGCCCCUUGUUCCCUCACACUCAACAGGUAACUGCUGAGUUAUGCCCUCCUUCCCACGUGCCACAGGUGGGAGAAUCAGGGUUGAACAAAAUAAACAUGGCCUCUGGCUUCAUGGUGUCCACAGUCCAGUAGGGGAGAUUGGUAUUAAAUAAGUAUACCACCAAAUAAAGAUGUCGUAAGAAAUUGUGCUAAGUACUACAAAGGAAAGAGAAGGAUAUGGAUGAAGUUAACCCGGCUGGCUGGGUGGGGCCUCAGAUUAGGAAGUGACAUUUAAGGCGAGAGCUGAAGGAUGGAUUACAUUACAUUAAUAUGAAUGAAGAAGCCAGGUAGAGGGAAGAGCAUGUACAAAGGCCCUGAGGUGUGAAAGAGCUCUGUGGGUUUGAGAAACAACCACAGGCCAGUGUAUGAGUAGAGCAUGGUAAAUAAGUUGGGGGGAAUUGACAUGGGUUGAGGCAGGUCCAGAUCCAAAGCGCCCUUAUGGUGCUGGAUUGGGCAUUUGGAUUUUUAACCAGCUUUAAGCAAUCUGAUGUCCAUUUUAAGAGAUUUUUCUAAGCCAAUAUAUGUGCCUAGUAUUGCUCCAAGCAAAAUACAUAUGUUAUCUUAUUUAAUGCAGAGAACAUCCAUAUGAUAUAGGUACUUUUAAUAUGCACAUUUUCCAGUUGAGGAAACCAAGGCCCAGAGAUGUUAAGCAACUAGCCUGGAGUCACAAGCACAUUUGUAAAGGGGCCAGUAUGUAACCAGUUGUCCUGGGCCUCCAGAGCCCAAGCUCUGACCACUGGGUGGCCUUGCCACAGCAUCACUUGGCCACUGCGUGGCUUGUGGAGUUGGGCAGCGUAGGUGCAGGCUGAUAAAUUCGGGGUCUCUUUCAGCAGUGCAGGUAAGAGGUCGUACCUUAGACUGGGGGUGCUCUGUAACUGGAGAGAAACCGAUAUUCUGGGGUGGGGCCCAGAUGGAGAAAGGGAAACAUGAUAACGUGGGAAUAAAUAGGUAUGAUUUAUUUAGACAUUUAAAAAAAGUCUUUAAAGUCUCAUUUUAAAGAAUUUGAAAUUUAUAAAAGAAAGUAAUCAGCAAAAGCACCGCGUGAAAAGCAAAUAAAAAUAGGAUCAGAAAUGAAAUGCAAAUCAGACUAAUAAACAAGCUUUUCCUUAAUUGAUACAGUGGGAAGAAAAGAAGAACUGAGAAAGGAAAUGCAAUUAUUCUAAAAGAAAUGUGUCAUUUGUAUGGAAUAUUGUUUAUAACUCCUUGCUAAAUUAGCUAACCAAGCCGAAACAGAUAACUAAACUAGUGAGUAAAUAGAUAAUGAAGUUGGUUCACAAUUUAGUGUCGUAGCAGAUAUGGGAUCUGCUGCCCACUCUUUUCCUCUCCUCCCCUCCUCUCCCUGCCUGCUGAAGUCUGACCAAUCCUCCUGACCCUGUUCAAAUCCCUCCCCAAAAUAGAAAAAUGAAACUAUCACCAUGAACCCGUGGUUGUUUUAGCCCAAAUCCACAAUGACCAGCAGGACAGAUGGCCUCACGGUACUAGAAGCAAAGGUUACGUUCUGUGCAGCCUUUUCUAUUGAAGAGAGCAGGGGAGGGUUUAAUCUGCUCUAGAAAUGGUUUCUACCCUAACAGACACAUUUUCAACAAGCAAGUUUUGGAGCGUGAAGACAUAAGAAAGAAUUCUCUGGAAACUGAUGUGGAUCACCUAGUGGGCCAAAUAAAGUCAGAGUGGAGCAUUUGUGGGUGAAUUGAGCUUGUAAGAUUUUAGGUGAAAACCUCAAAUACAGCUGCCAUGUUGUGAACUGUAUUCUCUUGAGAAAAGGUGAAUGACAGGCGUGAGAAGUACACCUCCAUCAGGUUAUCCAGGGGAGAUGGGAGGAGACCUGAUGCUGGUUUCCAGGGACCAGGACUGGGUCCAGUCUCAGUGUGUGUCCCAGAAGCUCAAAGAGUGACGAGAGCGGGAGAGGGUAGCCAAGUGUGGCUGCCAUUCCCACCUCUUGCCCGCCUUCUUCAGUACUCCCUCCUCCCGGGAGAAGUCUCCCCAGCCGUGGAAAACCUAGGACAGGGCUCACGACCCGCCUAUGUGAGCUCCUUUAGUGGGCGAGCGGCCCUUUACAAGGGUACCAAGUGCCCUCUGUGAGGGCAUUGGGAUAUUUGCAGAGUGGCACGGAAGGUGAGCAGAGACGUCAGCACGGGUGGGGUGUCAGGCCGUGUGCAUUAGGCACGGCCAGGUUACAAACCUUAGGAAAGCAGUCCGGCUUGUGCAUACCAGGUUCGGGUCACCACAGUUUCCUUUUCCGUAGACUGUUCCUCAUUGGAAAGGAAGGAAGGUUAGCAAGGUGAGCGGGAGGAAGGAAAGAAACAGAGGGGGUGGAUAACUAGAUGCUAAUACGAGGCCACUCAUUCGUGGACAUUUGGCAUUACUAAGACAGGACAGAGCUGGGUCCUGGGAACUCUGAUGACCAAGGUACAAUCUCCAGUUAACGUCUUUGGCUAGUCAGCCACAUGUCCACACAUACUGGUAUGUCUAGACAUUAUAUGCGAAGUCCUAGAUGUAGCACCUGGUGCAUAUUUGGUCCUUAGCAAAGCCUGACCACCCUCAUAUAACCAUUUCCGUCAUCAUCAGGAGGCUGUGAGAUCCUUGAGGACAGGCAACUGUCCACGUGUCUCCAAAUCUCUGGCUUGACCAAGUGUCUAGUGCACAUGUCAGAGUCCAUGAGCGUAUGGUGACCUAUUGACUAACUGAAUGAAUACAUUUCUGAGCACCUGUGCCCUGCAGGCACCUUUAAAAGGCAUGGAAAAAGCCUCUGAGACCUAAAACGAGAGGGGGCGUAAAUAAAAAAUGUUAUAAAUUGAAAAGCUCGUGCAGAGGUAGCAUUUGUGAAGUAC